GACAUGCCCCUUUUCUAAAUAAAUUUUAUGGUCCAACCUAUAACCCCAGAUGGAAGGGUUCCAGUACCGUGCCACGGGUAAAGACAACUGAAGAGAUACCCUCAUUUGGAAUGUACUCUAAUGAGAAUGGUGAAACCCUCAACUGACAGGUUAAAACACCUCACCAACCCUCGACUGGCAGGUUUGAUGUCUCAACCUAGUUGGCUAUGUAUUUAUUGAAUGCAAGGAUUGCUUCUAAGAGUCACACCAUCUACUAGCAGGUGUGUCCCCAUCCUUGGGUUCACUCAAUGUUGAAUCCUACUCCCAACUGAAUAGACACUGAACUGAUUUCCUAGUACAACUAGGCUUGAUGAACUGUUACUAAACUGGACUGGAUUAGUACUGAAUUUACUAUGUUUUCUUGGAUUCUAGAACUAACUAAAAGUACCACUGAUCAUGAUAUGACUGAGACUAUUCUGUAACUAACAUUGGCUCUAGGUAUACAGCAAAAUUGUCGGGUAUUAACUACCCCCAGGACUCAACAGCAUAAAGGGUAAAGCGUAACAUAAAUCUUGAAGGCACGACAAUGGCCACAUGUUCACAAUUCACUCUCUAAGGCAUCUCAUCAAACACUUGUGAAUUUUGAACUUGUACAUGUAUAGGGAUGUAUGCUAUCAUGUCCUAUGUACACUAACAAUUCACAUAGGCAUUUCAACAAACACCUUCAAGGCGUAGCUUUAACAUGAGAGCCCUUUUGACAUGUAUUUCUUUCACGAGUUCAUAAUUCAGAUCAACAAUGGAUCAAAUUUCACAAUUACUUCACUUACGCAUUUUUAGCAAACACAUGGGAGACAUCAUAUUAUACUUGGGCAUGAAUAAUAAUUUAAUACAUCAUGGCUACAUUAACCACUUCAAUUUCAAAGAUUUCAACCCAGAUGCUAACAUAAAUUCAUGAAAUUCAUUAAAGAAAUCAUCUUGGAAAUCACACAACAAGAUUAACAUGAAUACAAACAACCCACAACAUAGAAAUUAUUAUUUAAGAUUUUAAAAAGGUUCAAGGGUGAAAGGUCCCUUAGAUGAAACUUCACAUACCUUUGUGCUUAUGUUGGAGAAGAUUGAUGGCAGAAUUCUUAAGAUUUGAAUCUUGAAUUAAAAACCCUAAUGCUUGUUCUAGAAAGAGUUUGAGAGAAAGAUUGAGAUUUUUUCCUAAAGGCUGAUUAAUUUCUUGUUAAGGCUGAAUAAGGUAGGGAAAAUAACCCAUUUACCCCCCACAACCCAUAUAAAAUUAAUGCUGAAUAGGGCUACCCUCACGUUACGACCCCUAUUUGGGUUAAGUAGCCAUCUGAUGCAACCCUACUCAGGUCAAGUAGCUAUCGUAGCGCGACCUUAACUAUGGUUUAUUGGCCCUGGCGCUGCUGGGCUAUCACGACCAUUCAUUAUUUUGGGCAUCCAAACUUGCCAUUACGCUAGUCCAAAAAAUUUAAAACUUGCCUGAGAUGACCUACAAGUGACCCUGAUCAUGAAUCAAUUCACAAAUUGACUAAUUAAGGCCGAGAAGGUCAAAAAUAAAAUACUCAAAAUUUAGAAGGCUAAAAUGAUUCUAAGGCUUCAUACUUCGCUAAAAAUAUUCUAAGUUUGGCACCCUAUAGUAGGCUUUAAAGGACUGAGUCAAGCUUAGAAUUUUGCAGGGUCUUACACCACUCUAAUUCUUUUGCCUUCCCAAUACCCCUUCUACCACCCCUUCACUUCAAUAGUCACCUCUCUCUUUACCUUCUCCAUAUUUAUCCUCUUCUUUUCUCCAUUCAACUCCUCCUCGUCCUCUCUAUCUCUUUUAUUAUUAAUCUAAACUCUUCUCUACCAAAUGACCCAAACUCAAUCCAUGGAAAUCUCUCAAAAACCUUCGCUAGUAUGGGAUAUAUUUUAAUUAAUGAGGAGUAGUGUAGAAAGAAAUCCACUAGAGAAAAAUCUGAGUUCCCUAAGGUAAGUAAACCUAUUUGUAACCCCAUGUUUUAGGUAUUAAAGGAGUUGGAAGAACUCAAGGACCGCAUGAGUAUUGUCGAGGAAGAGGUGGUGUUGCUUCAGGUGUAAACUUCCAAAUUGCUGCAGCUUGGGAAGAGCGCUAAUUCUGACAUAAGCAAAGUAAGUUUGACCUUUGAUUAUUUCAAACCUAAAGGCAUAAAUUUUUUUUCCAAAGUAUUCUCUCGCAUGGACUCUUUCAAAACCGAAGAAAGCUCUUCCAACAAUGACCUUGCUAUUGCUUUUCAGAACUUCUAUUUCUUAUUUUUUAAGAAUAUUGAAAAAUCAUAUGACGAUUCUGUCACAACAUGUAUGAUACCCUCACCUACUUCUUGGCCAAACUAUAACUCUGAUGACUUCUAUUAGAAAGGGGGUCCUAUACUUUUUCAAAUUAUGGGUUGUAAAAUGAUUUCACACAAACUAUGGGGUUUUUAACUUCACCUUGAUGUAUAUCUGUGUGGUUUUCUUGGUUUGUGUUUUUGUUCCCUUCCUGUGUGUUGUUUCUUUUUUAUUAUGUCAAAGGGGGAAAACAAGAACAUCGGAGAUAACUAUCAAGUCAGGGGGAGAUAGUCCAGUCAACGAAAGUCAAUUGGCAUUUCAAAAUAUGAGAGUUGGAAAAAUAGAGAAUCCAGUCGAUUAUAGAAACAGAAAAGCUAACAGUUGUUUAAGUAGUAUUUGUCAUUAUCAAAAAGGGGGAGAUUGUUAGCUUUCUAUGGUUUCAUUUUAAUAAUGAUAAACUAAUAAGUAGAUAUUUCUAUGAUAUUGGAAACUUCUAAUGAUGGAAAGAUGUCUAACACAAAGAUUUAAAGGAUUAGAAAGUUGAUAAAGGUAAGAAAGACGGCUCCAAGAAUGGAAGAAUAUCCAAUCACGAUCUACAACAUCCAAGCAAAUCAAUCAAAACAAGAACAAAAGGAAGGAAAAUCAUAAAUCCCGAAAUCAUGAAAAAUCCAUGAUCUACAACAUCCAAAAGAAUCAAUAAGAAUAAAAACAAAAAAAAAGAAAUUCACAAAUUCGAAAAUCAUGACAAAAGCAUAAGAAAGAAGAGACCACGGAUGUAUCUAAUAUGGACGCAAGUAAGAAUUUGUGUAUGGAUUUAUCUGAUAUGGACAUACCAUAUAGUUACUUUCCUUAAAAUAAAGCAUCUUGGGUUUGGACCCUUAGAAAAUUUUGAGGAAUCUCUUUCUUCUGACCCAUUAUGACUCAUGGUACGUGACAACGCCCAAGAGCACAUGCAAGUAUGCGUGGUCUACCAAUUAGUAAAGUGUCCUUCAAGAAAGCCGAGUUAUUGAUCCCAUAGGGACUUGUGUUAAACAACUAUCUAAUUCUAGUUUAAAAACUUGAGAAGAGUAACAAUAAAGUCUUAGAAUUAUAAACUAAAAGUAAACUAAACUAAUCCAGUAAAGUAAUGACUUAGGACAAUCGUGGAUAGAAGCCCAAGGUUAAUCAUUACAACCAAUCAUACUACGUUAUUGAACUUUAUUCGUUGCAUUACUUAUCGUGGUUGUGUAUUCAUAGGGUUAAUUGCAUGAUUAUUGUUUUCCAACCUCUAAUCCUUUACCUAAGUUGCACCUUACACCUAUAUUUUUUAGCAGGGAUAUAAUAAUCCAGUUAAGUUAUGUAAGCUAUCAUCCUAUGUUUGAAUCAAGUAAGGCAUCUAAGCACAUCCCUAUGCUAGAUGCUAAUUCAAGUCUCUUACUUUAUAAAGAAAUAAGAACCAUACUUAGCUUAUUCCCUUGUUUUAUCUCCCUAUUCCCUCUCUCGAGAUAACAAGGUUGAAAAUUUAUGUAUUCUAAGGGUAGCUAAUCCUUAAAAUAGUUAAAACAAGAAUAAACAAGGAACCAAUAAUAAUAAUCAAGUCAACAAACUUAAUUUAAAAUGAAAGUAGUCACGAUCUUGGCAUUAAUCGCGGAAAGGGAGAUGUAGCUUUUAAUGGAAAUAUUCAUUAUCCAAUCCCUUGGAUUGAUGAUACAAACCAUGAAAAAAAAAACUAAAUUAAAGAGAUAUAAACCCUAAAAAAAGUGUUGAGAAGCCCCAAAACUAGUCUAAUACGUCCAAAAGUAUGUAAAAACUUGAUAUAAAAUGUAUUUAUAGCAAUCAGGUAAGCCAAGUCCGUAUUGGAAUUGAAUUAGAAUGAAACACCUAGGGGUUGAGUGGACCAUGCAUCACACCAUCUAUUCCUAUGGAAUGGAGAAUACGACACACCCUCUAUUCCAUAGAAAUAGAGCAUGUGACGCACGUUUAUCGGACGCCUUCACUGGAAUUUACAUACAAAAUUUUGGUUAAGUGUUGGUCCUUCCUCCUUCCAUCACUUAUCUUGUGGUGUCUUUCCAAUGAUUUUCCAGCCUCUAUAUCAUCCAUAUAUCAUCAUAUUAAGAUAAAAAAGGAUCUUUCAAGAAAACACCACAUGAAUUAGAGUUACAAAUACACAAUAUCCAUCAUGAUAAACCAAAAACAAGAGCUUAGACUAGGUUGAUUUCCAUGAUCUUUCACUUGAAGUUUCAACUUUUUCCUUGACUCACUUGAACUUUAAACACUACUAGAAAAUUGUUGCACAUAUAAAAACGCAUAUAAACCAUAAGGAACAAUUAAAACACAAUAGAAUCAAUCAAGAUAGACUAGACAAGCAACUAUCUCAACCUAGAAAGACUAGUUUUCUCUAUUGAACUCAAAUUGACUCUUUGAAGUACCAACUUACUUGGAAUUUACUUUGAACCUUAUAAACACAUGUUUUAACACUUUGAUACAUAUUUAUUUCAUUAUCAACCCCUAUAGCAUAGAGUCAUCCUCAAAACAAGGCUAAAAUAACUAGAAUAGUGACAAUAGAAUGCAUAAAUAUACCCUAACAUCACCACCCCACUCUUAAAGCCUUGUUCGUCUUUGAACAACUCUUAAUUGUAAUUAUUAUCAACUCAGGAGACUCUACAUUUCUACUAAAUGCAAGACACUCAAGGUAGUAAUACAAUGACUACACAGAAUGCAAGUUACUACACUAAGCAUGUUAUUUACACAAUUGAUAGCUCAUGAACACUACUCCAAAACAUCCUAGCCUCAAGAAUUGACUCACCUAGUUGGCAAACUCAUGUAUAUUUCUCAAUAAAGGACAUCAUAUAAAUCAACCACAUUCAUCAAACAUGUGUCUUCAUAAUAAGAGAGUUACCCAUAAUCACUAACAAUAUUGUAAUUUAUCACAUAAUGGGUACAAGAAUUAAAUUACACUCACUCUUACAAAGAAUUAACAAGUUACACAUACUGAAUCAUAAGCUUUCCCUUAGGCUAGUGCUCUACUAAUAUCAGAAUGUAAAGUAUAGGAUUAAUUAAGACUUUUUCGGGUUGCAAUAUAGUCUAAGGGACAGGUAGGAACUAUUUGAAAAUAGUAAAUAAAAUCUCUAAGAACUUUAAUGCACUACAUCAAACAUUUAACAUCAAUCUUCAACAACCAACUUACACUAUUUUUACUACCCCAUUCUUUUGUUUUGCCCCAUUUUCUUUAAGCAUUUUCACAAACACUUGGUGGGCAUAUUCUCUAUUCCUUUAAGAUUUAAUAUUUCUCAAUUUGUACAAUCAUGAAAAUAUUCCUAACAUCAUUUAUAUCACUCCCAACCACCACACAUCAAAUAUAAACACCAAUAACUCUUAUCUUGGGGCAUCAAUUUCACCUUUUUCUUUUUCAAUUUCUCAAACUCCUUACUAAUUUAAUUUUUUUUCAAUUAAAGAACCUAGGAGCUUUUUGGAUCAAAUUAAGUUCCAUCAAAGAAAAGGAAUAAGGAUUUAUAUGAUGUUGCCAAAGAAAAGGCUAAAGGCUCAAUAGGGGUUAACUAGAAUAAUGCACAAUAGGUAUGACAAAUAGAAGGAAUAAAACAAGGGUAUCAAAGAAACGCCCAAAUCAUCUCCUAAACCCACACUCUUUAUUUUACUUUACACACACACCGGGCAAGUUCUAGACUUCACAUGCAACAAGGAAUAUACCAAAUCUCACACUCAUAUGGAACAUGUUCAACUCAUAUAGGAUUAUGAUAGAAUACUCAUCAAACAAUAACAUGAAUUCAAAAUUAAGCCAACAAGUACAAGAGUCACAUAUAUAAGACUAGGAGUCUAAAAAAUAGCAAUUAAUUUAAUCAGCAUGCUUUUACAAACAAAUCCACUAGCUUCAUGUAAUAAAAAAUAGCACCAACAAGAAUAUCUUAUAAAAAAAUUAAAUUAUGCCAAAAAUUAGGAAUUUUCCCACCCCACACUUAAAAAUCUACUUUGUCCCCAAAGUGAACUUGUAAAGUAAGAGAUAGAAAUACUCCCUAAGGCCUUUAAUCCUAGAUAAUAUUAUAUUUUUAAAUUAAUGAGAUCCAUGGGAGCCCCACACUUAGUUUUUCCCAUGCUUCUUAGCUCAGGUUUUCAGUACUUAGACUUCCCAUAAACUUGUGACUCAACAAAAACAAAAAACUAUGUUAAAUAAAAAAAAUUGAAAAUAAAACAUACCUAAUUAACUUGGGUUGAUGCCCAAGAAACACCUAAUUUAGUGUCGUGGAAUGACCCAAUCAACUUUUUUCUCCACCUUAAGGAUAUUAAUUUCACCCCCAACUUUAUAUCCAACUUUUUCCCUUGCUCAUAUGGUGGUGGUACAAAGAUUAAUGAACUGAGUAAUGGAUGAUGAAUGGUAAACCACUCGGCGUUAAGGUAAGGUGUGUUCUUAAGUUGCUUAUCUGGUCUAAAAUUAAGAAUAUAGGAUUCUUGUUCCUCAUCUGCACACUCUUCCAAUCUUAUAGAUGGUUCCACAACAAGAUAUCACCUAAAAAUAAUGUAGAAAAGUGCUUUGAGUGAAUCCCAACCAAUCCCACAUCAAAAUUUACACUAUAUUCAACAUUAUCACUCAUAUUCACCUUCUAAAUUUCAGUCUCAAAAGAAAGAUGACAAUCGAGUGGCUGUGAUUCUUGUGUUUGUUCCAUAAAUUGGCUAAUAUCCUCCUCAUAUUUUUCUUUUCUUAGCAUCUAUAGACAUGGUAGAGGUGGCAUCUCCUCAGCCAUUUUAACAACUUUAGUUUUCAAGUACUCAUACUACCUCAAAUUAUCAUUAAUUUUAUCUACAAUCGGUUGGGGAGUCAACUCUGCAUCUACCUCCUACUGAUUAUACAAUUUCUUUAAAGCCUCCCGAUGGUUCUUUACAUUUGCUAACAACUAUACUUGAGAUGCUAAAAGUUUUUUAAUCAUCUUUUCAAAAUUGCUAGUUUGAGUUGUCACCUGCAUGUUUGGUUAUUUCUCCUAAAACUACUGCUGGUUAUUCCAUGAUUGAGUUUGUGACUGAUUCUAACCCGUUUGAUUAUAGUUGUUUAUAUAAUUUUGCCUUUCACAUAGGCCACAAAUAAUUCUGAAUCGAGAUUGAUAGCACACAUAGCUGCAAUAUGACAACUUUGACCAAAAACCAAACACCAAGUUAUAGUCUGCUCCACAGAUAGAACAGUAUUUGUAUCAUAUUAUGAAGGUCCUAUCCAUGCACUUCUAUCAAAAUCUGGAUAAUAAGCCUCAUGAUGUGGUCCCCUAUAAAAAUGACAAGAAUUGUUAUCACUCGAAAAGCAUCUUACCAACCUGACAUAUCAAGAAGUGUGAUAAAAAGAGAAAUAAAAGAAAAUAAAAAAAACUAAAUAAAAACUAUUUACAACUCAAUAUAUAAAAACAACAAAAAGAUAUUUGUGAAUUCAAGUCCAUGGCAACGGCGCCAAAAACUUAACAAUGCACACGCAAGUGUAUGUUGUCUACCAAGUAGUAAAGUUGCCUUUAAGAAAGCCGAUUUAUCAAUUCCAGAGGGACUUGUGUUAAAAAACUAUCUAAUUCUAGUUUAACAACUUAAGAAGAGUAACAAAUAAAGUUUACUAAACUAAUGUAGUAAAGUAAUGACUUAGGAUAAUUGUUGGAUAGAAGCCUAGGGUUAAGGCUUAUGACCAAUCAUACUACAUUAGUGAACUUCAUUUGUUAGAUUGCAUAUCGUGGUUAUGGAUUCAUAGUGUUAAUCGCAUGAUUAUGGUUUCCCAACCUCUAAUUCUUUACUUAAGUUGGACCUUACACCUACAACAUUGUGCAGGGAUGUAAUAAUCUAAUGAAGUUUUGUAAGUUGUCAUCCUACAUAUGAAUCAAGUAAGGCAUCUAUGUACAUACUAGUCCUAGUUUCUAAUUCAAGUCUCUUAUUUUAUAAAGAAACAAGAACCAUACUUUGCUAAUUCCCUUGUUCUAUCUCCCUAUUCUCUCUCUCGAGAUAACAAGGUUGAAAAUUAAUGUAUUCUAGGGGUAGUUAAUCCUUAAAAUAUUUAAAACAAGAUUAAAAAAGAAACCAAUAAUUAUAAUCAAGUUAACAAACUAAAUUCAAAAUGAAAUUAGGCAUAAUAUUAGCCUUAACCCAGGAAAAGGAGUUUUAGCCUUUAGUGGAAAUAUUCAUCAUCUAAUCCCUUGGAUUGAUGAUAAAAACCUUGAAAUAAACUAAAAUACAAAGAUAUAAACCAUAAAAUAAGUGUUGAUCACCCCCACAACUAGUGUAAGACAUCUAAAAGUAUGUAAAAAUGUGAUAAAACAUAUAUUUAUAGCAAUCGGGUAAGCCAAGUCUGUGCUAGAAUUGAAAUAGAAUGAAAAACCUAGGGGUGGAGUAGACCAUGUGUCACACCAUUUAUUCCUAUGGAUUGGAUCAUGCAAUUCACCCUAUAUUCCAUAGGAAUAGGUCAUGCUAUGCACGCUUAUUGCACGCCUCGACUGGAAUUUGCAUCUUAAAUUUUUGUUAAGUGUUGGGCCUUCCUUCUUCCAUCCCUUGCCUUGUGGUGUCUUUGUAAUGAUUUUUCAGCCUAUAUAUCAUCCAUAUAUCAUCAUAUUAAGCUCACAAAUGGUACUACAAAAAAACACCUCACGAAUUAGAGGUACAAACACACAAUAUCCAUCAUGAUGAAUAAAAACAAGAGCUUAGACUAGGUUGAUUUCCAUGAUCUUUCACUUGAAGUUUCAACUCUUUCCUUGACUCACUUGAAAUUUAUAAGCUACUAACAACUUAUUCCACAUAUAAUAGUAUAUAUAAACCAUAAGUAACACAUAAAACACAAUACAAUCCAUCAAGAUAGAUUAGACAAACAACUAGCUCAAGCUAGAAUGAGAGUUUUCUCUAUUGAACUCAAAUUGACUCUUUGAAGUACCAACUUACAUGGAAUUUAAUUUGAACAUUAUAAACAUAUUAUUUAACACUUUUGUACAUAUUUAUUUCAUUAUAAACCCAUAUAUCAUAGAAUCAUCCUUAAAACAAGGUUAAAACGACUAGAAUAGUGGCACUAGAAUGCAUAAAUACACCCCAACAUCAGUACGAUCCAUAACCUAGGGUAUGAGUGGUGAAGACCUAUCAUAAAAUAACUAGUGUUAGUUGGUGUGAUGGUUUUCAAAACUGUAAUUGAUACAAAUUAAGGGUAUAAGUCGUAAGUCAUGGGUUUGAGUCGUAUAUGUGACUCGUAAGGUGGUUAGUGUUUAAUCCUAUUGGUGUUACAUUCUACCAGGAAUACUUAUCAUGGGUGAGGAUCAUACGCUGAGGUUAUUACUUGGUUGGAUGAGAUGUAUAUUGUAUAGUGUCUGAUCCAUGGUUGAAGAUUGAUUAUGAUUGGGUCGGUAUCAACCGUAAGCUAGAUUACAACUCAUAAGAACGUCAGUCAUAACCCUGUGUCUAGUUUGUUUGGGAUUAAAGUGGGGAUAUUAUGGACAUUUCCCUACUUACCCUAAUAACGACCCAUGAUAUCUAAUGCACUUGGGAGGUUAUUAACCUUAUUAUUUUAUUCUUAAAUGCUUAGAAUCUCUUCCAAAACAUAUCACAAUUCUUUCAGGAGCUAGGGUUUCAACUAUGGAAUUACUUUAGGGCUUGUCUUCGUGAAUUAUUUCCAUUAAUAUUCUUGGCUUAAUGCAUGACUCUCUUCCCUACUUGUAAUUUCAAUUAAAUUCAUGGUCAUAUAGUUGACUUCAUGAUUUGUUCUUUUGCUUAGUUUUGUCUUUAAUCACUGAUUUAGGGGUUUUGAUGUUAAAGGAUUGGAUAUGAUUUCUUAUGGUUUUAAUUAUGUUUUUUUAUACAUUAAUGGUGGUUUUGGAUAAUGGAAUUGCAUGAUAAUAGAUUAAUGGUAAUGGAAUUUGGUUUUCGUUGUACUAUGCCCCCAAGCUGUUUGAUAAAAUACUUAUUAAGAUAUGAUCAUUGCAUUAACUUAUGUUAAAGGAACUCUUGCUUGUUUUCAUUUUAUAUAUGAAACCUUUCAUUUUUUUCAAAGGUUUACAAAGUUUAAUGUCUAAUUGGUAAUGCUUGUAGGAAACAUGGUAGUCUCCCAAAAGGUUAAUAUAUUAAAUGAAAAGGGUACCGAGAGUCCACUUAAUCUAAAUUAUUUGGCUACGGAUAAUUCUUGCAAGUAUGGUGAAGAUACCAUUGGUUGAUCAAAUAGCCUUGGUUAAUAAAUGGAUAAUUUGAUUAUUUUGGACUUGGUUUUAAUUGAGCAUUAAUAUCAAGAAGUGUAAGCUAAGCCAUAGAAGGUGGCGAUCUCAGGGGAUCAAAAUUGGAAACUUAUAUUUGAUGAUAUGAGGAUUUUCAAUGGCCAUGUACAAGUGUCACAUUUAUAUUAGAGGGAUAUAGUCAUCCUUGGGUUAUUGCCUAGUCAUUUGGAUANNNNNNNNNNNNNNNNNNNNNNNNNNNNNNNNNGCUACAAGGCCCAAGUUAAGGAUUUAAAUGUAAUGCUAAACUCGGUCCCUUAUCCCAACACUUAUAUAUAUAUAUAUAUGGUUGUUUGCAUUGGAUUAUUUUAACUUGGUUUUGAUAACUGGCAUUACUUAUCCUUAUCCUGAGAUUCAUGCUAGUAUUCACCCGCUAACCCAUCUACUAGCGGUUGUAUACCCAUUCUAUGAAAAAACCAAAUGUUUUAAUCCUCCUUAAUAGUACUUUAUUUGGGGACAACUUAUUGGACUAAAGUGGUGAGCUUCCAUCCUUUCAAACGACAUUAUUUUAUGUUGGACAUUCUUAGACUUUUUUUAUUUUAGGAUAUUAGUUUUGGCCAUAAUUGGAGAAACGUCCCAACCGAAUAUUCGUAUUCUUUUGGAUAGAGGCUUUAUGGUACUUCUAGGGGUUUAAAUAUGUGAGAUAGGUAUUAGUGUUAACCUUGGUAUCGAGAUAGAUGUUAGGGAUUAAACCCUUGUACGAUAUAUUUGUUUCCUCUAUUAUAUUAUAUUUUGGGUUUCACUUUCAUAUUAUGUUUUGAUAUUCUCUUUUGUUUGGUAUGGAAUGGAUGGUUGGUUUGGAAUGGACAGGCUUGCUUGGGUCGGUCAGGGUUGUGACCCUAUCCCAAAGUCUUCUUCAGAGCAUUGUAAAAUCUUCUUAUAUGGCUGAAAUUUAUCUCCUCUAAGUUUGUCUAAGGUGGUUGGGUUAGGUUAAGGGGGUGGUCCCUAGUUCUAUGUGGAUUUAGGAUGCCCAUUAUAAUGAGGCCACGAUCCGGGCUACGUCACAAUCAAGGAAUUAAUUCAAAUCCUUGAUUGAAUAAAAAUCUCUUAGGUUUCCUUACAACGAGUAGCAACUGAAGACUAUAAAAGAAGAAGUCUAAAGAUAGACAAAGAUUAUGAAACUUCAAGAAGAAUAUUGAAGUAUCUUAAUCUUAGUCUCACAAAGCUUUUUAACUUUUAUUUUACAAUUAUUGUAUAAAGAGUAGGAUCAAGUCAACUUUGUAACACAAACUAAAGUUGUUUCACAAGAUUUGAAGAACAAAAUAAGUCUUCAAAACUUGUUUCCCAUCAUUGUACUCGAUCCCGACAUUGAAUGAUCUAAAGAAAUAUUGUAACCCAAGGGUACUGGAAGUAGGCACAAUAAUGGUGUUUCGAUCUAGGAUAAAUAUCUAGGUCUUUGCUUUACAUUUGAUUAUUUAUUUUCUUAAUUAUUUCAAAUUUAAUCUAUUUUGUAAAGUGUACUGAUCUACAGGCGAGUCGACUUUGAGGAUCCAGUAGUCGACUCACAAAAAAUUUUCAAUUCACCCCCUCUUUAAUUUCAUUCAGGUUUUAGAGGAUAUAAUCCGCGCUUGUGUGAUGGACUUUGAUCGUUAGUAGGAGUAAUAUCUAUCUUUGGCAAUGUUUGCAUAAAAUACUAUCUACCAUUCCUGUAUCGAGAUGGCUCCAUUCGAGGCCUUGUAUGGUUGGCGUUGUCGCACUUCAGUUGGUUAGUUUGACUUUUUAGAGAUUAAACCUCGAGGUAAGAGCUUGAUUUAUGAGUCUUUAGAUAUAGUUUGGGUCAUUAAGGAUAGACUUAGAGCGGAUUAGAGUAAGUAGAAAUAUUAUGCAGAUAGUAGACUUUGUGUCUUGAGUUUUAGUGUUGGUGAUUGUGUCUUCCUUCUAUUUUACCUAUGAAUGACAUGAUAAGAAUUGGGAAUAGGGAAAAGCUUAGCUCGAGGUAUAUUGGACCUUUUGAAUUCCUUUAGACUAUUGGGGAUGUGGCUUAUGAGUUCGCAUUACCUCUAGAUUUAUAAGCUAUUCAUCCAGUUUUUCAUGUUUCUAUACUUUAGUGUUACAUUCUAGAUUAUUCUUAUGUAAUUCAUUAGGAUUCAGUACAGUUGGAUGGGCGAUUAUUAUUUAAGGAGCUUAUCUCCAUUCUAACUAUGGAUGUUAGACAGUUGUAUUAUAAGGUUAUUUAUUUAUUUAAGAUCCAAUGAAGGCAUUAAACAGUAGAUAAUUCUACUUAUGAAGUCGAGUUUGAUAUGCAUAGUAGUUAUCCCUAACUUUCUUCUUAUUUGGGUAUUUCUGUAGUCCAUAGUUUGAGGAAGAACUAGAUUUUUAGUGGUAGAUGAUGUAAUGAUUUGAUUUUUUGUGAUUUUUGUAAAAUAUUCACUUUUGUAUGAUUUGACAAUUUUACCCAUCCCUGUGGUUGCUUUUUGGUAUUUCAGAUGUAUAGGGAUGAUUGGCAUGGUUUCCGAUGUAUUUCAGUGUGAUUUGUACAAGUUUGUAGUUUUUGGUGGCUUAAAAAGCCUUAGAGAUGACUUCGGUCAACAUUUAUUGAUUUAUCCAUCAGAUGGGAAAAUGGACUAUGCCAGCAGAUCAAGAACAUCAAUUUUAGGUUGGUAACAUAGUUGGUGUGGUUUUACAAUUUUAUAUCUCAUUUCGAUCCUCAGUUUUGAAAGUUACAAAAUUAGGUUUUGGGGGUAUUUUGUAACAAACAUUUUUUGAAAAUAUGAUAUUGUCAUUGAGUUAGCAGCAUCGAAUUAGUAGGAUAGCAUAGUUUAUUUAUGUACUCAGGAUUUUGGAUGAAUCUCGAGGGGUUCGUGGAGUCAUGGAAUUCUCAAAACAUCCAGCUGGUGCACUACUCUGUUGGUGCACUUACUUAAGCAAUGCUUUGGCUGCUUAAGUGACUUGGCCCAAUAGCUAAAGUGUCGCCUAAGCAACACCAGGCCCACUUAAGCAAUUGCCUGGUCGCUUAAGAGACACUAACAAGCCAAAAACCUACCGCUUAAGCAAUACUAAAGUCACUUAUGUGACAAGGAAGGCUUUACUUAUAUGAUGCCUAGUCUCUUAUGUGAUAGCUACUUAAGCGACCCGGUAGUCGCUUAGGUGAUGUUUGGGUAGAUUACAACCCCAUUUUUGAGAUUUUUACACCAUUUUCAAGACUUAGAUCUGGGGUUUGAGUUUUUGAUCAUUUUCUUCAAUUUCUAAGCUUGGAUAAGAUCCAAAUCCCUAUUUUAAUUAUUUUCCUUUGCAUUUUAUCAUCUAAAUCUUGUUUAAGCUCAGAUCAAAAGUUGGAAUUUUGGAAUUUUGUACUAGAAGGCCCAAGUUACCAAUUCUUUGAUUCAAACCCAAAUUUCAACCCAUUUUCCCUUGUGUUUUCCCCUAUGAUUUCAUUUAAUCUUGGGAAAUAUAUUUUUGGAUUGACAUUUUGGUUUUACCCUUUUUUUCAAAAAUCCAUUUCGAGGGUUCAUUUUGACCCUAAUUAGAAAAGGGCAAUAUGGUUAUCAUUUACUUUCAUUUGAUCUAGAGAUUCAAUAUUUAUGUGUGUUAGCUACUUUUAACCUCGUGUGUAAGGUAAAAGCUCGGUGUUAAAGGAUUAUUAUACUUGUAUUAGCAUUCGAGGUAGGUUAUGGCUUAAUUUUCUUUAAAUUUGAUUGGGUAGUUAAUAAUAAUGUGAAAACAUGCUAUGGGUAUGGGCUUGUAUCAUGGAAAAUAUUUAUAUUUGAUUUAUGUGCACAUGUGGGACCUAUGUUGUUGAUAUGUGGUUGUUUUGAGAUAUUAUUUGUUAUGUGUGGCAUCAUGACGUCUUAUAUGGUGUUGUUGGCCUAGUAUUUAUAUAAAUACAUAUGUGUGUGUGUGUGUUUGGUUGUAAUUCCUUUGGUGGAAAAAUCCUAAAUUUUGGGAUUCAUGUGGAAUCAAUGGCAUUUUACUAGUAUGUUUCACUUAAUGGUUUUUGGAUUAUAUUGGAUUUUGGAUGGUUGAAUGAUUUAUGUAGAUUUUUUUGCUCAGAUGGCUGGUAUAUUGAUUGGAUAUUAUAAAUUCUCAUUUUUGUUGGUUAUGAGCAUUACACCUCAUAUCAUAUUCAAUCAUGAAACAUUGGUACCACCGUUGAAAUACUAAAAAUAUUUGAAACACUAACUUUUUCUGACAAAAAAUAUGACAUCUUUAAUAGCCCUCUACCGAUGUUUGUGCCAAAGAGGAGUAUGGAUAUUGGUAUUUGAUAUUUGUUGUAUACCAAUUGACGAACCCUCCAUUGGUCCUACCUGGGAGCAUAGCUUAAUAAUUAUAGGUUGACGAACCUCCCAUGGGUCUUACACCUACAGCUCAACUCGGUAGGUGUAUAUGGAGGUUGUAUAACAACCUCGUGCAUCAUCAUCUUCUUCAUUGCAUUACAUAUACUGUGCUUAUCCCAUGAUUGUGUUUCCUGUUCUUGACUUGAUAUCUGUCCUUUUGUUCUAUCUUCUUAUACUUAUAUUUGGAGUAUGUGUAUAUUUAUUCUUAUUUCCCUACCUAUAUUUGUUAUAUGUAUAUAGAAUAGAAUUGUUAGUGGAGAUUGUGUAGGCUACUAUUUUGGACUUUUUUUUAUUGCAGGUGACGUGGCCAUAGUUUGUGUUUAUAUGUUUUAUUUUCUACUUUACUUAGUCGGUCUAUGAUACCUACUAAGUAUAAAUGGAUUGUACUCAUCCCUACUGCACCCUUUUGGUGCAGAUCCAAGUACGAGUGCACUGUAUGGAUAGAUGAUUCAAGAGGCAUUUGGAGUCUAUUCAAGGUAGCAGUUGAUCUAUGCAUCUGGAGUUGGCUACUACCUUUUCUUGUUUAGAACAUGUCUUAUUUUUAUUCAUAGCCAGAGUUAUUCCUUUCGGGAUAUCCUAUGCAUAUUUUGACGUCAAGUUAUAUUAAUUGGUUCUUACAUUGUGACAACAAAUUUUGGAUUUUGUUUUUUAUCUUUGAUUAUAUUUCUGCUAUUAUCAUGUUUUGUGGCUCGACUUUACUUUAAAAUCCUUGUCUUGGGUUUUGGUAUUGAUUUCUCUUGUCUUAUUAGUUUGGGUGAUAGUCUUAUAGGUCAAGGCUUGCCGCGAUGAGUGCUAUCAUUACCGUUGGUUUUUAGGUCAUGAGAAAUGAGUUAAAAUUGUGAGAUAAUGAAUUAGAUGUCGAUUAAAGUCUCAUCAAGUGUUCAGUUCGUGACUUAUUUCUUUACUUUAAAAUGAAAGAUAGAAAUAAAAAAAUAAAAAUACAAGUGAAAGAUCCUAUUUAUGCAGUUUUUCUGGAAUCUUGACUUGAAUCUUCAUGACCUCUAAUGUUGUGGGAUAAUCUUUAUUUUGAGUUAAACUUGAAAAAUAAAUUUUCCUCCAUGACGACUCUUGGUAUUGGAGAGGAACUUGAAAAUUGACUGCAUUCUUCAGGUGGUCACUUGAUACUUCUGACAUUGAAACUAAGAAUCACCCAGUUUUUCAUGUGGGCUCCUAAAUUUGAACUAAAAUUAUUGAUCCUAUUAUCCAGAUGGGUUACUGAACUUGAAAUAAAGAUUGAUACUAUUCUCCAGGCAGGCUUUCUAAGUAUCAAAACUAUAAGUAAUUCUUGUUCUUCGAACGAGUUCCUAAAUCAAAAUAAAGAGUAAACUAGAACAGUAAAUCCUAUUUUUCAGGAGGGUCUUGUGCAAAAAAUUAAAGUCCCAUUUUUCAUGAAGGUCCUAAAGAGAAAAAUAAAAUCCCAUUCUUAGAAGGGUCUUACUAAUCAAAAUUCCACUUUUCAGGAGUGUCCUAAAUAGCAAAAUAAUAUCCCAUUUUCCAAAAGUGUCAUGAACAUAAAAUUAAAGUUCCAUUAUCUAGUAACAUUAACAUUAAAAGACAUAGAAAAAGACAUUAAAAUCCCAUUUUCCUCAUGUCAGUAACAUUAAAACACAUAGAAAAAGAUCUUGUCCAACCAAGAAGAAAUGUCUGUGGAAAUAAAAAAUCAGCAGCUAGCAUAGAAGAAUUUUGAGACAUAGUUGGGGAAGCUAGAUCAAGCAAAAAAUACAAGACCUCCAGGGGAUUUUCCUAGUGAUACUGAAAAUCCAGAGCAAGUAAUAUGAUCACCUUACGAAGUGGUAGAGACUUGAUUGAUAGACCUCCAAAGAAAAAUUAGGAGAUACCAGUAGAGGUAGUCCCAUAAAAAGUAGAUGCAAAGCAAUGAAAGACCAAAGAAGCUAAAAAUUUGGGAAAGUUUGAGAACCCAAAAACAAAGGCAGUUGAGCAUACACAAGAGAGACCCCUACCACCAUUCCCUCAAAAGAUGGAAAAGGCUAAAGAGGAUGUUUUUUUUAAGAAGUUCUUUGACACAUUUAGAUAACUUCACAUUAAACUUCCUCUAUUAGAUAUUUUUUUCAGGGAAUGGAAAAGUACAUUAAGUGCUUGAAGAAUGUAGUGACAAAUAAGACAAAUUUAGGUGGUUGAGAUGGUGGUACUUAUAGAGGAGUGUUGCUCAAUUAUGAUGUGCGAGAUUCCUAUGAAGCUUGAGGACCCAGGGAGUUCUGCCCUCCCCAUAUAAAUUGGUAAAAGUGAUGUGGUUUGUCCUUUGCGUGAUUUGGGGGAGAUCAUAAAUUUGAUUCCCCUAUCAGUAUUCAUUCUCUUAGUUUUUGAAAAUGGAGACCAUGUUUAAUGGUGCUCCAAAAGGCAGAUAUCAAAUAAGUAGUACUCAACAAAAUCAUAGAGGAUGUUAUUAAAAUUGGUACAUUCAUUAUUCUUGCUGACUUUAAUAUUCUUGAUUAUGAUGUAGAUGACAGGAUGUUGAUCAUGAUAGAAUGUCCAUUCUUGCCAACUGGAGGAGCACUUAUUGAUAUGAAAGAGGGCACUCUAAAAAUAAGAUUGACUCAUAAAGAGGUGGUCUUUAGAGUGUAAUGACUUAAUUUUUAGUUAUUUUGUGAUUAUUUAUUUCUAUGUUAUUGGACUAUUUCACCCUUCCAUGUGGCUAUUUUAUUGUAUUUUUAGGGUGCGGCGAUGAUUGGUAUCGUUCCUAAUAAAUUUCAAUGUGGUUUGUGCAAGUUUGUAGUUUUUGGUGGUUUAAAAGGCUUCUUAGUUGACCUUGGUCAACAUUUAUUGAUCUAUGCAUUUGAUGGCAAAACGGACUACAUUAAGAGAUCUGGAAUGUUGAUUUUACGUUGGUAACAUAGUUGGUGUGGUUUUAUAACAUUUGUAUCUCAUUUUAACCCUCAAAUUAGGAAGAUGUGAAUUUCUUUGGGGAGGUCAACUUUUUGACAAUGACAUUUUCUCAAAAAUUUGAUAUCGCCAUUAAAUAUGAAAUAUCAAAUAUAGUCUAGUAUCAUUGUUCAUUUGUGUUCUUUGGAUUUCAAACUAAUCCUAGGGGUAUGCGGAGAAUUAGAAUUCUCUAAGUAUCUAGCCGAUGCACCACUCAACUGGUGCAUCCGCUUAAGCAACAUUUGGUCAUUUAAGCGACCUAGCAUCUAGCUGAGGGUAUAUCUUAAGUGACUCACCCAUUGCUAAAGUGACUAUUGCUUAAGAGACAAUAAGUAUCUUACACAACACUUGUAUGCCAGGUGGGUUUCACAAAAGGGACACCUAAUUGCUUAAGCUAUAGCUGCUAAUCCACCCGUUGUUUACUUAAGUGAUGCCUGGGUGUGUAUUAUACCCUUUUUGUGACUUUUUCACUAUUUUCUACACUUGGAGCUUAGGGUUUUAUGUUUUUGGGAAAUUUCUUCCAUCGUCAAGCUUGGUUAAGCUCAAAAUCCCUAUUUCAAUUAUUAUUCUUUGCUUUCUGUCAAUUAAAUUUUGUUAAAACUUGAACUCAAAAGUGAAAUUUGUGGGAUUUUGGCUCGAAAGAUCUAAAUGAGUAAUUCUUCAAUUUAAACUCUAAUCUCAACCUAUUUUUACUUUGGUUUUCUUCUAUGAAUUUCUUUAGUCAUGGCUAAUAUAUUUUUUGACUAAAUUUUAGUUUUACCCUUCUUUUAGGAAAAUCCAUUUUGGGAUCCACUUUGACCCUAACCCAAAAAUGGGUACUAGGGGUAUCAUUGGCUUUCUUUAAUGCAUAAAUUCUAUAUUUGUAUGCUUUAGUCAAUUUUGGAUCCAUUCAUGGGGAGAAAUCUCUAUGUUGAGGAUUUUGGUCUAAUUUUUGGUAUUCAAAGUAGGAUAUGGCUUAACUUUCUUCAGACUAGGCUGGGUAGUUAUUAUUGGUCUAAAAUCAUGUUAUAGAUAUGGGAACUAAUCGUAAAAAUGACUUUAUUAUUGUUUUGUGCCCAUGUAGGGGCCUAUGCUGUUGUUGUUUGAUAGUUUUGAGACAUUAUUGGCUAUGUGUGACCAUGUGGAGUUUUAUAUGAUAUUGUUGGCCUUGUUUAUGCAAAUUGGUAGCAUCUUUUCAGGUGAAAAAGCCUAAUUUGGAAUUUAUGUAAUAUCAAUAGCAUAUUUUUGUACAUUUUAUUCUACUGCCAUAUGGAUUAUAUUGAAUUCAUUUAUGGUUGGCAUAUUGAGGGGAAUUUGGCUAACAUUAUUGUAAUGUUGGUUGUAUUUCAAAAUUUUCAUUCCAGCUAGUUUUGAGUUUUACAUUCUUAUAUCAUAUACAUUUAUGAAACAUUGGUACUAGUGUGGAAAUACUAGAAAUACUGGCUUUUUUGAUAGAAAAUAUGACAUCUUUAAAACCCAUUUAUUGAUGUAUCUGCAAGAGAGAAGUCUUGAUAUUGUAUUGGUAUUAGAUAUUAUAUUAUAUAUAGGUUGACGUACCCCCCAUAGGUCCUACCUUAGUAGAAUAGCUUAGUAGAUGUAUACAGAGAUUUUACGACAAACUCAUGCAUUACAUCAUCAUCUUCUUCUUCUUCAUUGCAUUCCAUACGUUUUUACAUUCUAUGUUGUAUUCACAUUCUUAAUGUGAUAUCUAUAUAUUUAUGUUUAUUUUUUGUACUUGUUUUUUGGUAUAUGUUUAUAAUAUAGAACUAUUAGUAGAGACGGUAUGAGCAAUCAUUUGGGAUAUUUUAUUAUGGUAGGUAACAUAUUCAUAGUGUGUAUUUUAUAUGCUUUAUUUUCUACUUUACUCAUUUGGCCUAUGAUCCUACUGAGUGCAAGUGGACUUUACUCAUCCUUAUUAUGCCUUUUUGGUGUAGAUCCAUGUACAAGUGCACCACAUAGUGCUAAUUCGGGCAGUGCUUGGAGUAUUUUUUAUGUAGCAGUUGGUCUAUGCUUUUGGAGUUGAUAUACUAGCUUUCUUAUCUAGUUCAUGUCUUGUUUUGUAUUAAAAGAUAGAUUAAGUUUCUUUUUAAACUAUUAUUUUAUUUUGAUUUUGAGAUGUACUUGGUUGGUUCUUACAUUGUGACAUCAAAUUUUGGGAAAUUAAUGGUAUCUUUUUAAUGUUCUACUAUUAUGGUAUAUGUGUGGUUUGCUUAAUUUUACAAGCCUUACCUUUGGAUUUGGCAUUGUUUUCUCAUUUUAUACCAGUUUGGGUAAUAGGCUUACAUAUCAAGAUUUUUCAUGAUAAGUGUCACUAUGACCCUUGGAUUUUAAGUCAUGACAAAUUAGUAGCAACCAGUUUCAUCGAUCUCAUCAGUGUAAGAAUAGAAUGCCUAGUGGAGUCUCAUGGAUUGGUAUGUAGACGUCCAUAUCUAUCCUUAAGUGGCUAUCGUAGGAAACUUUUCUUACUUUAUUCAUUAUCAUUAGGAUUCUUUCAUGCGUUGUCUUCUAAAGAAUAUUUCACUCUUUUCUACAUAUAUGGUGAGGACUGGAUUGAGUGAGGUUAGAGAUAUUAAUCUAUCAUUUGAGAAGAGAGAUCAAUAUAGAAAGUGAGUUGGAAACCAUGGUCGGGCUUGAGGUAGUGGAUAAGCAUGAGGAUCUACUCAUUCCAUAGGUAGUACUAGGAGGAUCUCCCCUUAACUUAGGUUGAGAGUGCUGGAGAUAUAGAGCCUACUUUAGUUCAACAAAGUUAUUCUACCCCUGUUUUAUAGGGCUUACUUAUUCGCUUGCUGACUCAUUUGGAGGGUACUCUUUUGAGUGCACCUGGUGCUCCUCCAGCUCUGAGUAUUGUACCUCUAUUUGUGCUUGAGUCUACCUAUAGUAUUCCUCUAGUUCUAAGUGUAGAUCCUCUAGUGGUAUUGAUAUCUUCUUAUGGUACUCCACAGACUCUGAGUGUUAUUCGUCCUUCCCUACCAACACUUAUGUAUGGUAUUUUGAGAUUAAGAGUUCACCCUUCAUCUAUGUUACCUCCUCAGAAGGGAUCUCAGCCAACCAUAUUCACUAUGCCUCUUAAUAUUGUGAGUAUAGUUAUGUCUUUUUAGGAUCAAAAGAUGUUUGAGAGACUUACUCAUUUGGGUCCUCUUAGGUUCAAUGGUGUUGUGGGUGAGGAAUUCUAUGAAUUCUUUGAUUAAUUGUAGGAGAAUUUGUAUAAUCUUGAAUCUCUUGAGUCGCAUGAGGUUACUUACGCUACUUACUAGUUGAGAGAUAUAGUUAUGGAUUCGUGCAGGUCACUAGUUAGUUGCAGACCUCUUGGUCCCUAGAGAUGGCUUAGGAUUAGUUUGUUAAGGCCUUUUUGGAUGGGUUUAUUCCAUACAGUCUAAGGGAUUAGAUAAGAGAUAAGUUUGAUCACCUAGAGAAGGGCUUUAUGACUAUUGUAGAGUAUGGGGCAUGUUUCCAUGCCUUGUAUAGAUAUUCUUAAACCAGUAUUGCCACUGAGUCUGAGAAGAUUUUAAAGUUUAUGAAUGGUUUGGAUGUUUUGCUUUACCUUACUACUACCCAAAUGGUACUGUUAGGGGCAUUCUUUCAGAGUAAAAUAGAUCAUGCUAAGAUGAUUAAGUCUAUACAUUGAUCAUCUUAUGGAGGCAUCAAGAGGGUGCACCAUCAAGGCAAAUUUAGAGGUGCACCCUCAAGGCAAAUUUAGAGGUCAUACUCCUCGAGGUAGAGAUUUUAAAGGCUUUCGUAAGUAUCCUAGAAGACUUGUAUAGGCAGCCUUGCAGGGUCUAGGUAAUGGGUCUUCUAAUUUAAAAGGUUUGGCUGGUAUUUCUGGCUCAGCUUUACCUUCCCUAUUGAGUCGAGUCAUAGAGGUUGUUUUAUGUGUGAUGAGAUUAGCCAUUAGGCCAAGGCCUAUCCCUACUGUAUUCUUAGGCCUACUUUUUUAUCAGAAGUAAGAGGUGGGAGGUCUACUAGAGGUACAAAAGACAAAGGUAGUAAUGGUCAUGGUGGAAUUUGUAGGGUUACUUAAUCAUGUUGUGGUCAUGAACAGUGCUAUGCUAUACCCACCAGGAAAAAGGUAGAGGCUUCUGACACUAUUAUCUUAGGUAUUAUCCCCAUUUUUUUUAGAUCUGCAUAUAUUUUAUUUGACCUAAAAUCGAAUUUAUCCUAUAUGGAUGCAUAUUUUGCUUUGGAUUUUGAUUCUACUAGUGAGCCUUUUGUCGUGCCUAUCUGUGUAUCUAUCCUUGUAAAAGACUCUUUAGUGGUGGAUGGGGUGUUCUAAUUUUGUUUUAUGACCUUUAUUGGGUGUGAGACUUGGGUAGAUCUUAUUAUCUAAGGUAUGGUAGAUUUUGAUAUUAGUUAUGGUAUGGAUUGGUUAGAUCUUUAUCAUGAUGUAUGCUAAGAUCGUGACCUUACCUUUGCUAGGUGUGCUGAGGAUAGCUUAGUUAGGGUCCCAAGAGAGUUAUGUGUAACACCCUAGAUUUUUGCCCUAGAAAAAUUCUAAGUUUUGAACUCACUGUCCAACCUACUACUCACCAUACGAGUCAUAAGGUGUCUUGACGGGUCAUAGAACCCCAAAUCGUAGGGUAUCCAAUAAAGUUUGUUGAAGUUACGACUAGGGUUCACGAGUCAUAAAGACUUUAUACGAGUCAUAUAGUCUAAAUUGUAGGCUAACUAGUGUUAUGCCCCAAGUGUUCUAUCCUAAUUACAACUGGAUGUUUUGAGUCAUAUAGACUUAUUACGAGUCAUAAUGUGCCAUCCGUAAGGGAACCAAUGUAGGGCCUUAAUGUUUCUACCUAGGCUAUGACUCUUGGUGACGAGUCGUAAUGAGACCCUAUGAGUCAUAAGAUGACCCGUGGUCAAUGAUGACAGAUUUCCAUAUUUCAUUAAGGGUACUUUGGAUUUCCCUUUCUUCUAACUAUAACCGACAACCUUAAAACACUUUGGGGACCCCAUUGUCCUUCAUAAACAUAUUAAAUACUCUCUUUACUUCCUCAAACUCUCCUAAAUACCUAAGGGAAGAACAAGUUAGGGUUUCUCAGAGUUGGAUAUCUAAGGGCUCAAGGAUUGAUCUCUCUCCAUAAUUCUUUGUACUUUCAGGCAUGUUGCUCUUCUCCAAGUCUUAUUUUAUGAAAAGCAUGUGUUUAUAAUCUUACCCAUGUGAUAAGUUAUGAUUUUAAAUGUGGGUUGAGGAUUAUCAAACAUUAUUGUAUUACUUGUUUUUCACAUAGCUUUUAUGAAUCAUGUAUGACUUGAAUUGAUGUUUUUGAACAUGUGGGGUGUAUGGGCACGAUGAAUGAACUCAGGGGUCAGGGUUUCCCCUAAUUUCAUGAAUAUGGAUUAUUUAAAUUGUAUAACCCCAACCUAAUCUUGUGAAAUUGGCUUUGAUUAUCAGUACAUUUGCAUUAAGCUACUUCUGUAACCCUUGCACAAUAUAAAAAGGUUAUUCAAACAUAAUGGUUUGAUUUAAUGAACAAAGGUGUUCAUGGUAUUCCCCCAAAUAGACUAAAUGAACAAAGGGGAUUGUUUUCUUAAGUAAAUAGAAUUGUACUAGCAUGAUGAUGUUACCUUGCAAGUGUAGUUGGUAUGACAAUACUAACUAUGUAUGUCUUGAGUAAUAUUGUGGCUCAAGUAAUGGGAAUAUGUGAAAAAUAUUUUAACUGGGCUUAAAAAGGGUUAUGCAUCUUAGUAAUGAAAGUGAAGGUCCCGAGAGACCAACAUCAAAAACUGUAUUUGUUAGCAUAGGGGUCUAAAUUGCUUAGGGUUCGAGUCCCCUUACUUAUGACUACGUGGUUUGAGUCUCCCUUAUGACUGACUGGGUGUACAUGUCACCCUUGAUAUUUGACAGGGUGGUUUGAGUCUCUAUUGGUACAUAUGUACAUAGUAUUAUUCUCUGGUUGAUGCGGCUACAAGCAAUGGGGUUUUUUCAGCUGGGAGAGUAGAGCCCAUAUAGCCUGUGGGUGCCCUUUUAUGAUGGUUAAGCUACACAAACUAGAAAAAUAUUUUAAAGUUUAUGCUAAGCCUUGUUCUUUUCCCCGAAUGUGAUAUUUAUAUAUAUGUAUAUGCAUAUAAUUAUGUACAUUAGAUUUUAGAUAAUUUUAAACAUUGAUCAUGGAAUAAUUUUAUCCCUUUCCUAAGUUCAAUGCCAAUGCUCAACCUGCUAACCAUCUCUGAAUGUUUUAUUCACUCAAAAUGCAAGAACUGGAGACACUUCUGCUUUUAUUUUGGCAGUGAUUGGAUUUUUAGGUUAUCAACAGCCAACUUUAAGUGGUGAGCCUCAUUCUCCUAGAAGGCUGUUACUUUUUGGUUUAUCUUUUAUCAUAGACUUUUCUUUGGAGUUAUUUAGGCUAUCAUCAGGGGUAUGUCCCAAUAUUAGUUUGAUUUGGUUUUGUCAUAAAGGUUGUGUGGAUUACUAUGGACUGGGUACUGGUUGUGGAUGUAUUUUAGAGUCCUUGAGCAUAUAUUUUUCUAUUUUGUUAUAUGUUCAAAAUUCAGCCAAUGUCAUGUGUAUUGUAUUUAUGUGAUUAGGCAAAGAAGGUGUUUUCCUAUCCAGGGUAGACUUGGGAUAUCCUUCAUGGCUAGGACCUAGUUUGGAUCAUGAUAUUAUAUUAGUUUUUUAGGCUCAUCUCUUAGUUGAGAAGGGGUGUUUGUCUUUUUGGCUCAUAUUCUUGAUAUUAGUGUUGCUUCACCACCACCUUUGGAUUUUGUUCAUAUUGUUCAUGAUUUCAUGGAUGUUUUCCUUACGUAUUUCCUUGGUAUUCCUCUGGAUUGUGAUAUUGAAUUUUCUAUUAAGGUUGAGCUAGACACUAAGCCCAUUUCUAUUCUUUCUUAUAGGAUGGCCCAGUAGAGUUGAAGGAAUUAAAGGAUCAGUUGAAGGAGUUGUUGGAUAAGGUAUUUAUCUAACCUAGUGUAUCACCUUGGGGUGUGUCUGUCUUGUUUGUGAAGAAAAAGGAUAGGUAUAUGCAUAUAUGUAUUAAUUAUCAGCAAUUGAACAAGGUGAUAGUGAUGGUUAUUAAUAAGUAUCUUCUUUCUCAUAUUGAUGAUUUGUUAGAUCAGAUUUAGGGUGGUUUUUGUUUUCAAAGAUUGAUUUGAGAUCUAGUUAUCACUAGUUCAGGAUUAGAGCUUUGGAUAUUUCAAAGACAUUUAUUUUAGACUCAGUAUAGUCAUUAUGAGUUCUUUGUCAUAUACUUUAGGUUGACCAAUGCCCCAUCCAUAUUUAUGGAUUUAAUAAAUGGGGUAUAUUAUCUAUACCUCAACUCUUUUUAUUUUAUUUAUAGAUGAUAUCUUGGUUUAUCUCAAGAGUGAGGUCGUUCAUAAAGAACAAUUAUAGAUUGUGCUCCUGAGAUUGAGGGGUGAUAAGUCGUAUGAUAAGUUAUCCAAGUGUGAAUUUUAGUUGUAGUAUGCUUUUUUCUUUGUUUAUGUAGUGACCAAGGAUAGUAAUUACAGUGGUUCAUAAUUGGGCUAGACCUAUUUCUCCUACCGAGAUUUAGAGGUUUAUUGGUUUGAUAAGUUACUAUUGGCCUUUUUUUAUCUAUUGUAGCUCUAUUGACCAUUUUAACUUGGAAGAAGAUUUCCAUUCAGUGGUUUGAUGCUUGUAAGGCAAGCAUUCAAAAGCUUAAAAACUUAUUGACUUUAGCUCUUAUCUUGACUUUUUCCAGGGAGGGCAUAGGGUUUACCAUCCGUUGUAGGACAUUAGGUGUUUGGUUAAAUAUUGUGUUAAUGUAAGAGGGUAAGGUGAUUGUGUAUGCUUCACAUCAGUUGAAGCCCUAUAGGAAAAAUUACCCUAUCAGUGAUUUGGAGUAGUGUCCAGUUGUAUUUGCUUUGAAGUUAUAGAGCCACUACUUGUAUGGAAUUCAUUGUGGUAUCUUCUCAGAUUAUCUUAUCCUUAAGUAUCUCUUCACCCAGUCUGAUCUUAAUCAAAGGCAACGUCGUUGUCUUGAGUUGUUUAAGGAUUAUGAUCCUACUAUUGUAUAUCAUUUAGGCUAGAAAAAUGUGGUUACGGAUGCCUUGAUCCAGAAAUUAACUAGCAUAGAUAGCUUAGUGGAUCUUUUGACCUAAGAGUGGUUUUUGGCCUUAGAGGUUUAUCCUUUGGAUAACCAGAUAGUUAGACUUGAUAUUAUUUCACCGACGUGUCUUUUAACAUUUGUGGAGGCUAAUUGUUCUUUGAUGGAGCAGAUUCGGGCUUAUCAAUUUUAUGAUGUAGGGUUGAGAGUGUUCAGGAUAAGGUAUUAAGAGGAGAGACUAAGGAGGACUCACUUAAUUCAGAUGGUGUUUUAAGGAUUGGAGGUCGAGUAUAUGUCUCGAGAGUAGAUGAUUGGAUUAUAGUGAUUUUGGAGGAGGCUCAUUGUUCUAGGUACUUCAUCAUCUAGGAGUGACUAAGAUGUAUUGUGAUAACAUUACUAGUGGGGUGGUAUGAAGAUGAAUGUAGCUUAUUUUGUAGAUUGUUGCUUAUGUUUCUAGGAGAUAAAAGUCGAGAAUUUGAGGCCUGGUCAUUUUUUUCAAGGGUUACCCAUUCCCAAGUAGAAAUGGGAAUGGAUUACUAUGGACUUUGUGACUGAGUUGCUACAUACUUCUCGUAGUUCUGAUAGUAUUUAGGUCAUCAUGGAUCGAUUGACCAAAUUUGCUAAUUUUAUUUUGGUUCAAGUUUUAUUUAGUGUCGAGAGGUUGCCUACAUCUUUAUUUAUGAGAUAGUUUAUCUUUAUAGUGGGUUAGUGUCUAUCAUCUUGGAUAGAGGUUCAAUGUUCACAUCUUAUUUUUAUAAGACCCUUUUGGAGGAUUUGGGUACCCAAGGUGAUCAUAGUAUAACUUUCCACCCACAGAACAAUAGUGAGGCAGAGCAUAUGUUAGAGGACAGGCUCCAUGUGUGUGUUAUGGACUUUAGACGUUAGUAGAAGUAGCAUCUAGAUUUGGCGGAUUUAGCAUAUAAUAUCAGCUACCAUUCCAGUAUUAAGAUGACUUAUUUUGAGGCUUUGUAUGGUAGGCAUUGGUGCUCUCCAGUUGGUUUGUUUAAGGUUUUUUAUAUUAGACCUUAAGGUAAGGACAUUCUUCAUGGGUCCCAAUGUAGAGUUCAGAUCAUUCAGGAUAGACUUUGAGUUGCUCGGUGUAGGCAAAAAUGCUAUGUAGAUCAUUGACUUUGUGCCUUGAUAUUUAAUAGUGGAGAUUAAGUUUUCCUUUGUGUGUCACCCAUGAAGUGCAUGAUAAGGUUUAGGAAGAGGGAAAAGCUUAGACCUAGGUUUAUUAAACCUUUUAAGAUUCUUCAUGUUAUUGAAGAUGUAUCUUAUGAGUUAGCAUUGCCCCUAGAUUUUUCAACUAUUUAUCCAGUUUUUCAUGUUUCCAUGCCUAAGCAUUAUAUUUCGGACGAGUCGCAUGUCAUUCGUUGGGAUUUAGUCUAUUUAGAUGAGAGGUUGUCAUUUGUUAAGGAGCCAAUCUCUAUUCUAGGCAAGGAUGUUAGGCGGUUACAUUUUAGAGUUAAUCCUGUGGUUAAGGUCCAGUAGAGACAUCGACCUGUAGAUGAGGCUACGUAGGAGUAUGAGUUUGAUAUGUGUGGUAGUUAUCCUCAAUUUUUCUCUCAUUCGAGUAUUUCCCUUGCCUUUAGUUUAAAGACGAACUAGAUUUUAAGUGGUGGAUAAUGUAAUUACUUAAUUUUUGGUGAUUUUGUGAAGUGUUCAUUUUUAUGUGAUUUGACCAUUUUACCUUACUCUGUAGUUUCUAUGUGGUAUUUUUAGGGUGCGGGAUGAUUGACACAGUUUCUAAUGUAUUUUGAGAUGGUUUGUGUGAGUUUAUGGUCUUUGGUGGUUAAAAAGCGUAUAAGUUGACUUUGAUAGACAUUUACUGAUCUGUACAUUGGAUAGAAAAAUUGACUAUGCCAGUAGAUUCAAAAUGUUGAUUUUAGGUUGGUAUCAUGGUUGUUGUGAUUUUAAGGCUUUUACAUCUCAUUCUGACCCUUAGAUUCGAAGUUGUAAAAUUGGGUUACGAGGGUCAACUUUUUAUACAACAACAAUUUCAAAAUUAUGAUAUGACCUUUGAGUCUGAAGCGCCAAAUUUAGUCUAGUAGCAUAGUUUGUUUGUAUUCUCAAGAUUUUGGAUGAAUCUUGAGGGGUUCACAGAGAAUAAGAAUUCUCCAAGUCUCCAACUGAUGCAGCACUUAGCUGGUGCAUCUGCUUAAUCAAUAUUUUGGUAACUUAAGAGACCUAACAACCACCUGGGGUAUUGCUUAAAUGACUCCCCCAUUGUGUAAGCAAGUGUCGCUUGAGCAAAAGUUAGGUCACUUUCGUGACAUUCGCAUUCCACGUAGGUAUCGCAAAGGCCACACCUGGUUGCUUAAGCUACAACCAUAUAAGUAUUCUGGUGUUCGCUUAAGCGAUGUCUGGGUGGGUUAUAUGCCCCUCUGUUUUAAAAUUUUCACCUUUUUUACACUUGAAACUUGGGGUUUUGAGUUUUUGGAUGAUUUCUUCCAUUUUAAAGCUCAAGUAGGCUCCAAAUUUAUCUUUCAAUCAUUUUUCUUUGAUUCUUUUCAUUUAUAUCUUGUUAAAACUUGAAUUCAAAUGUGAAAUUUGUGGGAUUUUGGCUCAGAAGGCCUAAAUGAGUAAUUCUUCAAUUUAAAUCCCAAUUUCAACCUAUUUAACUUAGGUUUUCUUCUAUGGCUUCCUUUAAUCAUGGGUAAUAUAUUUUUGGACAAAAGUUUUGGUUUUACCCUUCCUUUUCAAAAAUCCUUUUCGAGGGUCUGUUUUGACCCUAACCCAGGAAUGGGCAAUAUGGGUAUCGUUUGCUUUCUUUUAAUGCAUAGAUUCUAUAUUUGUAUGUUUUAGUUGAUUCCAGAUCUAUUCGUAGGGAGAAAGCUCUAUGUUGAGUGCUUUCCGGACUAGUUUUCAACAUUUGAACUAGGUUAUGGCUUAACUUUUUUCAAACUAGAUUGGUAGUUAAUAUUUGUUUACAAACAUGUUAUGGGUAUGGGAACUAAUAAUGGAAAUGGAUUUAUUGUUUUUUUGUGCCCAUGUAAGGGCCUAGGUUGGUUUUAUUUUGUGAUUUGAGGCAUUAUUUGCUCUGUGUGACUGCGUGGGGUCUUAUAUGAUGUUGUUGCCCAUGUUUAUGUAUAUUGGUUGUAUCUUUUCUGGUGAAAAGCCUAAAUUGGAAUUUAUUUAUUAUAUGGUAUCAAUUGCAUAUCUUUGUCUAUUUUACUCUAUUGGCAUAUUGAUUAUAUUGGAUCAUAAAUUGUCGGCAUAUUCGGUGAUUUUUUCUCACAUGAUUGGUAUAUUGGUUGGAUUUGGAAAUUCUCAUUCUGGUUGAUUGUGAUCAUUACAUCCUCAUAUCAAAUCAUUAAUGAAAUAUUGGUACCAUCGUGGAAAUACUAUAAAUACUGCCUUUUUCUGAUAGAAAAUAUGACACUUUUAAAAGCUUUUGUCGAUGUAUGUGCCGGAGAGAAGUUGUGAUAUUGAAUUGGUAUUGGAUAUAAAAUAGUAUAUGGGUUGAUGACCCCCCCGCCUCCCCAUGGGUCCUACUAUGGAAGCAAAACUUGGUAGGUGAAUAUUGAGGUUAUAUGACAACCUCGUACAUCACAUCAUCAUCAUCUUCAUUGCAUUUUAUAUGUUGUGCACAUUUUGUGUUGUAUUCUCAUUCUUGAUGUGAUAUCUAUCUAUUUAUCUUUCUUGCACUUGUAUUUUGGUAUGUAUUUAUAUUGUAGAGCUAUAGUGGAGACAGUGUGGGCUAUCAUUUGUGACAUUUUCUGAUGCCUUGAUUCUUUUCCGUGGCAACGACGCUAAAAAUUGAUGUCACCCAAAACUAACCUCCAAAGAAAUCUGUGGUUGUUGACGCAAGUAUAGUUACCCAAACUAGGUUGGGGUUUAACCCACAUGGAAUGCUUGGAAUAAUGUGUUGAACUUGACGAAAUCAUGGGCAGUGCUGAAAAUUAAAUAUAGGGAAUUUGAAACCACAAUAACACAUAACCGAACUUGAGUGCUUGAGAUUGUAAACAAUAGAAGACGAACACUAGGACUCUGUCCCCCCUAACUUCUAAAUCUGUAAGAGUCUCAGGUUCAAUUCAUCUAUCCUAUUGCUAUGCAUGCAAAGACUGACAAGUUAUGUAUUAUCAAUCACCUUGUGAACGCAUUGAUAAAUCUCAUCCGUCACCCUUUAAGUCUCAGGGCGUCGCCUUACUAUCCCUUGUCUUUGACCCCAGUACAACUAUACCUUAUGGGUCUCAAGUUUAUUAGAUGAGGGUUGAUAGCCUUAAAUUACUAUCAUAAUCUUCUUUUCUCAAUAUCAAACUUGUUUGUGAGGAUGAUAUAGAAUACAAGGAAUUCCCAAUCUUCUAGAGUAGCUUGGGAUACAAUUAAUAUAAAGAAAAUCAAGAUACAUGCAUCCACAACAAAAAUAUUAAUCUCCCACUUCCCUUACGUAGUCAAUAUGCCAGGGGUCCCACAACCCAAGUCAAGGAAAUUAGCUGCUCAAUUCAUGAAAAUCAAUGAAAAAGACAUGUAAUUAAUUGAACAAAAAUGAAAGAGUAAAAUAAAAAAUCUCCAAUUGAAUACGAAACCAAGACCACAUGGACAAAAUCAAGAACUCAAAGUAUAUUCAAAAGUAUUAAAAGUGCGUAAAAUAAUAAUGGAAUAACCAUAGGGUAUUUAUAGUAUCUCAAAAUAGUAAAGAAAUCCUAAUUAUAAUGGAAUAGGAAAAUUAAGUCAGCAGUGGUCACGACUCUAGUAAUGAGUUGUUAGGUCUGCUUAUGACUCGUUGCUUGAUCUCAUAGCUCUUUUUUGGCUUCAACGAUUAUGACUCAUAUGCUCUCCGUACGAGUCGUAUGCUUCUUAUUGUAGGCACUCCAAUAGCUUUUCUCUUUCAAAGAAAAUGAAUCUGUUGUUUUUAUGACUUCUCGUUAUGAGUCGUAGUCAUACAUUACGACUCGUGGUCUUCACUCGUAUCCAUUAGAGCAUCAAUAUUCGGGCUUUAGAUACUCGUCACAGUACGAAUUCUUACAAUGAGUCGUAGUCUGACCUUACGACUUAUCGUCCUGCAUAAUUUUCCGCCUGGACUUCAGCAUUUCUAACUAUUGUCAUUACGCUUGCACACCAUAAAUCACGGUCACUCCUUAUUAGUCGUGGUCAAUAUUUACUUAGUUCCUCAACUAAGCUUUUGUCACUAUUAUCCUUAUGAGCUUGGCUUUGAGUCAUAAGGUAACUUAGUGACUCGUACGUUGACCACAACUUCAACAUAUUCAGAGUUUUUUCUUCCAUUUUUAAUGGCAAGCCACUUCCUACCUAAUUUACCUGUAUUACAUACAAAACACAUAUCAUAUCCGAUAAAAUAUCCCAAGUCAAUGCAUAAUUUCACAGUUUUACGCAUAGAAUUUUCCUUGAAAACACAGCACAUCAGUAGUUGAUGUGCCCAUUGUGUGUCUUUUAUAUCUAUUAUUUUAUACUUUUCUCAGUCGACCUAUGAUACCUACAGAGUACAAGUGGACAAUACUCAUUUCUAUUUCAUCAUUUCAGUGUAGAUCCAGGUACGAGUGCACUACAUGGUAGCUAAUUCGGAUGGUGCUGUGAGUAUUUUUGAGGUAUCGGUUGGUCUGUGCUUCAAUAUUUGAUCUACUACCUCUGCUUACUAGUUCACAUCUUUUUUUGUGUUUAGAGACAAAUUAUGUUCCUUUUUGGACUAUCAGUUUGUAUAUUUUUAUUUCGAGAUGUACUUAGUUGGUUCUUACACUAUGACACCAUAUUUUGGGAGAUUUAUGGCAUCUUUCUUAUGUAUUUUUCUGCUAUUAUGGUAUAUGUGUGGUUUGGAUUCAUUUUAGAAGCCUUGCCUUAGGUUUUGGCAUUAUUUACUCAUUUUAUACCAGUUUGGAUGAUAUGCUUACUUGCCAUGAUUUUCCGCAACACGUACCAUCCCAACCUUUGAAUUUUAGGUUGUGACACGAAGUGUAGAAGACAGUUAGCUCACACUGCAAGGAUUUGUACAUGAUCGCAUCUAUGAAAGUGGAUAACUAUGAGGUGGUGGAGUGAAACCUUCCAAUGACCUCUUCGGACCUCUCACAUUGAGUUGCCCAAUUCUAAAUUAAGCCUGAGAUUAAGAGACAUAAAAAAGGAGCUUGCAAAAGGCAAGUAUGGAGAAAGCUACAGACCUUGAGAGUAUGCACUCAAGAGUUCAAAACGAAUAAGAAUAUGGGGUUCGAGUAAGAGGAACAGGAUGUAAAAAUAUGGUUGAGAAUGGUGUGAACCAUGCCGCGAUAAUAAACUAGGCAUUGCUUCCGGGGAAUCCCAACUUAAGGUAGGUAUUUUAUUUUCUUAGUUUUAUUUAGUAUCACCUUUCUUUUUAUUUAUGUUUGAGUCAUGGGAUAAAGGGAAGUUUUAUUACAAGAAAUCCAAGCUAAAGAGCACAACAAAGACUGAGUAUAGGGUCCUUCGGACCUCUUUGAUAAUUUGGAUGCGACUAGCUAGGCUGGAGGCUAAAAGAAGUAGUUCAAUCCUUACUUCUAAUUUUUACUUUAGGGACAGAGUGUAAUUUUAAGUUUGGGGUAGGGAAUCUUCUGAUUCUUUAAGGUGAAGCGCUUCUAUAGGACUUCCAUUCUUAGUUAUUUUCUAGUUUUUGACUAAAUUUGAAAAGUUACAAAAAGAUUUUAUUUUUAGUUAUUUUCAGUUUUUAUUGGUGUCUAGUAGAAGCACACUUCACCCACACCUUGAUUUUUAUUUUUGGUUAUUUUAUGAGGGGGUGAUGGUCACGACCGAUGCUACCCCUAGUCACGACACAGUGCUUAAGGCAAUAAGUGAUUCCAAGAUAACCCAUGAUCUAGUACAUGCUGUGAGCACUAAAUAAAAUAAUAUGGAAACAUCAUGAGCGGAAGAUAAACUGAUAAUUUUCUAAUAUAAUAUAAUAUUGAAAUCUAAACCAACAUGUCUGAAAUAACUGAGUAGACUAAAGAUUACGCUGCUUGUUUGAAAGACUUUAAAACAUAAGAAGUUGAUAGGACAAACCCCCAACUAACUCUGACUAUCUGAGAUAUAGAAAGUAUUGAAAAUAACUAAAGAAAACAUAUUGUCCUUAAUGAAUGAGGACUCACCACUAAUGUGGCUGAGAGGUAUUGAGCUGUCUAAGAAUAAUCAGGGGACCUUGCAUCUGUACCUAUGUUAUAAGACAACAUAUCUCAAAACAAGAGUAUGCAAUUAGUACUUUGAAUGUACUGGUAUGUGAGGUAAGGACUAACUAGACAUAUAUAAGGAAGCUAAACAUGGAUGCAUGAACAUAUAAAAAUGAGAAUCCAAGACCAAGUAAAGUAUGAACUGAAAUAAUUUAUAAAAUUGACUGACUGAAUAGCUGGUAAACUGAAUACUUAGUCAUGCAAACCUAAGAUGAUACAAUUCGAAUACUGAACUGAAAUAAAACUGUAGGAGUUAUCACAUAACCGACAUGACCCAGUUUGAUCUAAUAAGGGUCCAACCUAUAACCCAAUUGGAAGAGGGUGUCAGUACCUUGGUACGAAUACUAAUAUUGACUUAUGGAUCGACUAAAUUGAUGUCCCAAAGGAUAAUGGCGUCAUUCCUCUAUUGGCUGGUGACCCUUAAAAGAAUGGCAUUCCUAUACCAGUAGGUAACAUCUCAUAACCUAUGCAGUGUACGUAGUUCUAGAACUUAGGGAUUGCUACUAAAGGUCCCAAUACUCUACCAGUGGGUGAUCCUUUAUCACUAGGUUCACUCAGUGCUAAAUCCUACUCCCAACUGAACAGACACUGGUAUUGAUUACUGUUAACUGAACUCAUAACUGAUAGUGCUCAACAUAAUCAUUACACAACUGAGUAUGAUAAUGGAAUUUAUGAUUUGACUAUCUUAGUACUUGAAAAACUAAAACAUAAGUAAACACAUAGGUAUUGUGUGUUCAUAACCUUCCAACACUUAAUAUACUGAAAUACGAUAAUAACACUUAAAACAUUGGUAGAAAGACAUAAUUUAGAGACCCAAAAUACAAUACAUUUCAAUGAAUGACUGAGCUACAUGAAUUUGAAUAUGGGGAGGUGUUAAACUUGUGAGAAUAACAAUUUCACAUGGUUUAAUUCAUAACUUGAUUAUUUGACAUGGGAUCAAUUGAAAAUGAUAUAGGUAAUUGCAAUUCAAAGUAUGAAAUAACCUAAUUUACAUAGGAAAACAUUUUGACAUGGCUUGAAUUUAAAUUUCUAAAACAACAUGGAUUAAAUUCAUAUUUAGCAUGGAUAAAUUUCACAAAAGAGGAUAAAAUUCAUAGUUGAACCAAAAAGGGAUUUCGACUCAAUCAUUGGAAAAAACCCAUUAACGAAUACCCCACACACCUCAAUUGGUUGAAUUCUUGUAGAAAAACUUUAAAUUGGAGUUUGAAUGCUAGAAUUCUUGGGGUGACACUUGAAAUUAUGUUCUUGGGUAAAAGGGGAAUAAGUUUUCGUAUAAUAACUGGUAAAGAAUGGGGAAAUUGAUGCCCUUUUGUGUUAUAAAUCGUGGAUUUGGUCUUUUGUGAUGAGGGGAAAUACUAAAAUUCCCCUCAUUAACUUAGUGAAAUUUCUUAGAAAACAUAACCUCUGUGGCACGGAGGUUAUCACGGAGGCUAACAUGUGUAUCACAAACCUUACCGCGGAGGUCCUACCUCCAUGUCAUGGAGGUUAUCAUGGAGACUAACCUUUGUGGCAUGACUAUAUUAUAGAGGCUUACUGCCUAUGGGAUCUGUAAUUACCCCAAACCACAUUUGAAAAUUCCAAAACUCUUUCAGGAUACCCUUUUAACAUCCCUAAACAUGUUUCAACUCAAAAAUCAACGAUUUGGAUUUCGGAAGUCCCCAAAUAAAUUCCUUGAAAUCUUAAGGUAUAAAUAACUAAGUCCACUAUACUCGGUGUAAAAUUCAUCCCUUGGACCCCUUAAACAUACCACUAGGAGUUGGAAGCGAUCCUAAGAUCUUAUGAGGUAUUACAAUAUCUCCCAUUUGGGAUCAUUCAUACUUGAAUGAAACUCGUUAAGAUGAGAUACUAAGAAUACUGAGAUCAUACACUUAAUACUUAGAAGUUGAAUCAUGAUUAAAUAACUAAGUCUAAAACAUAAUACAUGGACUGAACUGAAUUCAUAAAUGCAUACAACGACAAGAGGAUAUUUAUAUAGCUGAAAUAUAAAAUGAGAGAAUCACUUAAGGAAAACAUUAACUCACGCUAAGAAACGAUGGGGAUACUUAACUCACAUAUUUGUUUCUUCUUCCCAUGUUGAUCCCUCAACGGACUGAUUUCACCAUAUAAUCUUAACCAAGGGAACUUCUUUAUUCCCCAGCCUACAAAUAUGAUGAUCAAGGAUCUCAAUUGGGACUUCUUAGUAUGAGAGAACAUCUUUGACAUCCACACUGUCUAAAGGAACAACAGAAUCUGAAUCAUCAAUACAUUUCAUUAGCAAGGAGACAUGAAAUAGGAGAAGCACUGAUUUCAAAUCUACAUGCAAUUCUAAUGGAUAUAAGAGAUUGUACACUUCAUACUUAGAACUGAAUCUGAAUUAAAUAACUAAGUCUAAAACAUGAUACAUGGACUGAACUGAAUUCAUGAAUACAUGCAAUGACAAGAGGAUGGUUAGAUAGAAGAAAUAGAAAAUGAGAGAAUCACUUAAGAAAAAACAUUACUUUACGCUAGAUCUGAAUUCAUAAAGAAAAUAUGGGGAUACUUAGCUCAUAUAUCUGUUUCUUCUUCCCAAGUAACUCCCUUAACGAACUAAUUUUGCCAUUGAACCUUAACCAAGGGAACUUCUUUGUUCCUCAACUAACGAAUCUGAAGGUCAAGGAGCUCAACUGGGACUUUUUCAUAUGAGACACUUUCACAUCCACACUAUCUAAAGGAACAAUAGAAUUUGAGUCACCAAUAUAUUUCAUUAGCAAGGUGACAUGAAACACCAGAUGCACUGAUGCCAAAUCAACAUGCAACUAUAAAUCAUAUGCUACCUUCCCAUAAAGGCUCAAAAUCCUGUAUGGACUAAUAUAGCGAGGACCGAGCUUCCCCUAUUUUCCAAAUCUCUUCACCCCUUUCUUAGGUGAUAUUUUCAAAUAAACCAAGUCGUCAACAUCAAAUUCAAGAUCUCUUUUCCUUAUAUCUUCAUAAUAUUUCUGACAACUCUAGGCUAUCUUUAGCCUCUUUUAAAUCAAUCAAACUUCCUCCAUCACCUCAAAAACUAAAUUUGUCCCUAUCAAAGCAACCUCACCUACUUAAAACCAAAUAAUGAAAGAUCCAUAUCUUCUCCCAUAGAGAGCCUCAAAUAGAGCCAUAUAAAUACAAGAGUGAUAGUUAUUAUUGUAGGCAAACUCAAUCAAAGGUAAAUGGUCAUCCCAACUACCCUUGAAGUCAGUAACAAAAGCCCUCAAUAUGUCCUCUAAGGUCUGAAUGGUCUCCUCUGCCUAACCAUAGUUCGAAGGAUAAAAUAGCCAACUGAGAUGCACUUAGGUACCAAGACCCUUCUAGAAAGCCUUCCAAAAAAGAGAGGUAACCUGAUUAACUCUAUCUAAAAUAAUGGUCAAUGGAUUUCUAGCAACUUUUCCAACUCCUGAGAUAGGGCCUAACAUCAGUUGAGCAUAAAGUAUGAACUGGCAAGAAAUGAUCUUACUUGGCCAUUCGGUCUAUAAUGACCCAUAUAAAAUCAUGAUGACAAUGCAUUUGAGGAAACCCUAUCACAAAAUCCAUAUUCAUUACUUCCCACUUCCAGGGGGUAUUCUAUACUCCUAAAGUAUACCACUAGGCCUUCAUGGCCAACCUUAACCUACUGAUAAUCCUCACACUUAGCCACAAACUCUGUAAUAUUAUUUUUUCAUACCACUCCACCAUUGAUUUCCCACAAAUCACGGUACAUCUUAGUGGCUCCUUGGUGAAUAGAAUAUCACAUACCAUGUACCUCAGCUAAAAUUCACUACCUUAGACUGUCAACACAAGAAAUACAUAGUCUUCCUUGAUAAUGAAAUACACUAUCCUCACUUGGGAGAAUACCUCAACCUUCUAAUCCCUGACUAUCUCCUUUAACUUGACAAAAAUAAUACCCCUGUCUUUCUUUUCUUUUACUUUUCUACCAAUGAGGAUUCCGAACCAUUCUGAACCCAUAAACUACCUUUAGCUAAAUCAACCAACUGAACACCUAACCUAGCAAACAGAUGUACUUCAACAAACACCUCCUUCUUAUCUUUCUCAACAUGUGCAACACUUUUCAUAGAUAAUCUACUAAGGGAAUCAACCACUACAUUGGCCUUACCGAUCAACACACUUAUAUCACUGUCUUUUAACAAUUCAAGCUAGCUUCUAUGAUGAAGAUUAAGUUCUUUCAGUGUGAACACAUACAAUAACAAUUAUUAUCCAUGAACACAUAACCAUGAACCCCAUAAAGGUAAUUUCUCUAAAUCUUUAAGGAAAAGAAAACUCCUACCAACUCAAGGUCUUAGGUUUGGUAAUUUUUCUCAUGGAGUUUAAUAUGUCUAAAGUCAUAGGCUAUGACCUUACAUCACUGCAUUAACACAUACCCAAGACCAACUCUAGAAGAAUUAUAGUAUACCAUAAACCCAUCUAUUCCAUCUGGCAAAGUCAAGACUAGAGCGGAUAUUAGUCGAGUCAUUAUCUCUUGAAAACUCUUCUCGUAGAAAUCUGACCACUAAAAUUUAACUUUCUUUUGGGUUAUGUGAGACAUAAGAGAAGAAAUAAAAGAAAAUCCUUCAAAAAACCAUCUAUUGUAACCAUCUAAACAAAAUAAAUUUCUAAUAUCUGAUGAAGAGAUGGGUCUAGGCCAGUAUCUUACUACUUAGGUCUAUUAAAGAUCAACUUGAAUGUUAUCACCAAAAAUAAUGUGACCAAGGAAAUCUAUUGAUCUCAACAAGAAUUUUUACUUAUUGAACUUAGCAAAAAACUAGCGAUCCUUAAGGAUCUACAAUACAACCUUAAAUGGUCUUCAUAAUCACUCUCACUAUGGGAAUAGAUAAGAGUGUCAUUAGUGAAGACUAUGACUAACAUGUCCAAGUACUGCUUGAACAACCUGUUCAUCAAAUACAUAAAAGUUGUAGGGGCAUUCGUUAGUCCAAAAGACAUAACUAGGAAUUCAAAGUGACCAUACCAAGUCCUGAAGGUUGUCUUUUGAGUGUCACAUUCUCUAACUCUAAGCUGAUGAUAGCCAGCUCUAAGGUCUAUCUUAGAGAAAUAGCUUGCACCCUAAAGUUGGCUGAAUAUGUAAUCAAUUCUAGGGAGAGGAUAAGUAUUCUUAAUUGUAACUACGUUCAAUUAAUGGUAGUCAUUGCAUAUUCUGAGAAAACCAUCUUUCUUGCACAUGAAAAGAACUGGAGCACCCAAUGGGGAAAUACUAGGAGGGAUGAAACCCUUAUCUAAAAGAUCUUCAACUAUUUCUUAAAUUCCUUAAGCUCAGUUGGAGCCAUUAUGUAAUGUGGAAUAGAGAUAGGCUGGAUACCUAGCAGGAGAUAUAUUCUAAAAUUAAUUUCCAUUUCGUGAGGAACUCCAGGAAGAUCUUCAGAAAACACAUCUAUAAAUUCAUUCAACACUAGAACCAACUCAAGACUCAAAGUUUCAAAAUUUGAGUCCUUGACACAAAUGAGAUGGUAUAUACAUCCCUUUGAUAUUAUAUUUUUAGACUUAAGAUAGGAGGCAAAUUGACCCUUAAGCACAAAAGCACUACCCCUCAAUUCAAUAACUAUUUCAUUAGGAAACUGGAAUAGAGCAAUUUUAUUUCUACAAUCAAUUGAGUUAUAGCAUGAGCAGAUCCAAUCCAUGCUGAGAAUGACAUCAAAAUCAUUCAUCUCUAACUCCACCAAAUCAACUAAAGUAACUUUCUUAGAAAAUAUAAUCAGGUAAUUUCUAUAAACCCAUCUAACUACAAUAGACUUACCAACUAGGGAAGAAACUAAGAAAGGCUCUACUAGUGUUUCGAUACUAACAGUAAAGUCCAAAGCUAUAUAAGGACUUAUAAAAUAAAGUAAAGCUUUAGGGUCUAUCAAUGCAUAAAUAUAAAUAUGGAAGACUUGAAACGUACUCAUAACUAAUCAGCAAAAUUCUCCUGAUUAUUUCAAGUUUGGUAAGCAUAAAGGUGGUUCUGACGAUACCUACUGGUGGUACUUGAUGUGGCACCCUGCUGAGUUGGGUGACCUUUUGAAGCUGAUGAAAAGUUGGACUGGCCCUAUUGAAACAAAUCCUUUCUACUCUGAACAACCACUAAAAAAUCCAUGAUUCUAUGUCAUAGUUGUUAAAUCCAAAACAUAUAUCACUACCCCCUUUGCAUUUACCUUGAUGAUUUUUACCACACUUCCAGUAAAGAAGAUUAGUGGAACUACUAUUCAUACUACAUUGAGACUUAGAACAUGUCGCUCUAUCCUGACUGUCCUUCCUAAACUAAGGCACUGGUGUACUAGUUAAAGAUUGGCAGGAGGUAAAAUUUUUUGGUAGAACUGAGAAUGGUUCUCGCCUUCAAACAUUGACUGAGAAAAGUUAAAUCUACUUAUUCUAGGCCUCUUAUUCUAGCUUUUCUUUUCCUUGAUCUUCUCCUUCUCAAUUGGCUAAGCAUGAACUAUCAGCCUAGAAAGGCCCAUCUCCUAAAUUAACAUGGUUGUCCUACACUCCUUUACUACACUAUCAGACACACCAGACACAAACUUGCUUAUCUUAAACCUGGAGUCGGGAACCAUAGUUGAAGAAUAUCUUACCAACUGAGUAAACUUAAGUGAGUAUUCCCACACACUCUGGUUACCCUAAUUAAGAUUUAUGAACUCUUGUACCUUAUUCUCGCUAUACUCAGUGGGAUAAACCUAUCUAUAAAGGUCAUGGCAGACUUCUCCUACUCUAUAAGCCCUGCCUUAUCACACCGGUCCUUCUUCCACUACAUAAACUAAGUAUGAGCUACUCCCUACAACUAGUAAGAAGCUAAGUCUGCACUCACUCAAAGUGACACCCAUGAUACCUGUAACUUUUUGCAUCUCUUCCAAAAACUUCUGCAGAUCCUCCUCAAACUUGAUCUAGAAAACAAAAGGGUAUUCAUCCAAGUAACGUAUCGAAUCAUGGAUAUAGUCAUAUUUAAUAAUGGAUUGAUUGGAGCAAUAGCCUACUAGCUAUUUUGGGUAGCUGUAAAUUGAGACAAGGCUAUGAAGGUGGCCUUGAGCUUAGUAUGGAAAACAAGGUCAUACAUGGGAUCUUCCUAAAUAGGUGGUAGUGCAGGAUGAUAUCCAUUCCUUAUUACAUUAUUUCUUCUUAGAGGCAUUUUCUGUAAAUGAAAUAGUGGAUUAGUUAUAAAAAGGGAAUUUAAUAGAGCUAAUGCUCUUUUGCACGUCAUGAAUGAAAGAAGGGAAACUUACCAAAAAACUUCUCAUAGCCUCAUGCCCAUAAGUAUGGUUCUCUUAACACACAUGCAUAAGAAUCUACUCAAUAUGGAUUUAAGACACCCUAGGACACUUUAAAACUUUAGGCUCUAAAAUAAAGUUUUGUCAUGACUUGAGGCUUCCCUCUAGUCACGACAUGGUACUUAAGGCUACAAGUGACCCCAAGCUAACCCAUGAUCUGGUACAUAUUGUGAGAACUGAAUAAAAUAAAAUUGAAACAUCAUACGUGGAAGAUAAAUGGAUAAAGUUCUGAUAUGAUAUGAUAUAGCACUAAAAUAUAAACCAAUAUUUCUGAAAUAAUUGAAUAGACUAAAAAACUAGACUGCAGUCUAAAAGCCUCUAAAACAUAAGGAGUUGAUGGGACAAAUCCCCAACUAACUCAAAUUAUCUAAGAUAUAGAAAGUAUUAAAAAUAAAUUAAGAAAACAUUUGGUCCUCAUUGAAUAAGGACUCACCACUACUGUUGUUGAGAGGUAUUGAGUUGUCUAAGAAUAAUUAAGGUACUAUUCAUCCAAAACUAUAUUGUAAGACAACAUAGCAUAAAAGAAGAGUAUGUGAUCAAUACUUUGAAUGUACUCAUACGUAAGGUAAGGAAUAACUGGACAUACAUUACAAAAAUAAACACGAAUGCAUGAAUAAGUAAAAAUAAGAAUGCAUGACCAAGUAAAGGAUGUACUAAAAUAAUCUAUUAAACUAACUGACUGAAUAACUAAUAAACAGAAUCCUUCGUCAUGGAAACCUGAGCUGAUAUAAUCUGAAUACUAAACUAAACUAAAACUGUGGGAGUUAUUAUGUAACUGACAUGCCCUAAUCUGAGCUAAUCAGGGUUAAAACACCCUGGGUUUUUAGAACUAUAGAAAAUUUCAUAGAUUUUUAUUCUUUGGACAUCAUAUGACUAGGGGGUAUUAGUUAUAUGAUGGGGUACCAUUUGUAUAGUCUUGGUCGUAUGUUAACCAAUAUUGGCUGGUGGGUUUGAUUGGUUUUUAGUGUGGGUACAACUUGGGUGGGUACGAGUCAUAUGGUGGGUGAUGAUUCGUAUUGUUUAGUUUUUCUAUCACUCAAUCUGAAAUUUGGUAACUUAACUUGGAUCUGAGUACGAAUGGAUCACCAUGAGCCGCAAUAUUGGGUAUGAGUCAUACCAUGCACUUGUAUGGUGAAAAGUGUCCAAAUCCUCUUUGAUUUCCAUUUUAUGGCAGGUACGAGUCGAGGGUACAGGUCGUCUUAUAUGGUUGCAUAUUGUGCAAUGUUACGGUCCAAAGGGAGUCCUAGGGUAUGAGUAAUGGGUACCACUCGUAUGGUAGGAUACGACUGGUAUGGGGUGGUUAUACCCUCCUGCGGGAUUUUUAAAAAUUUAAGUAGGGGUAAUCUAUAAAUUUCCCUACUUAACCUCUUAAGGCCCCAUGAAAUAUAACUCUCUGGUUACAUCAUUUACCCUAAUAUUCUAAUCAUAAACACUUAGAAACUCUCAAAUUCUAUGGAAGGCUCUUGGUUUAAGAAAGGCUAGGACUUUAUCUAGAGGAUCGGCUUGUACGGGUGAUUUCUCUCUUUCGUCUUCAUAAUCUAAGGCAAGAUACUUCUCCCUCAUGGUUAGUUCCAACUAAAGGCAUAUUUUAUGAAUUAUUUUCAUGGCAUAAUUGUUUUAUGGUUUUGGGUUUUAAAUUAUAUGUUGGGGAUUUUGAUUUUAAAUGCUUGGUUAUGGUUUUACCAUGUUUUAAUUAUGGAUGUACAUACUUUAAUCGUGUCUUGGACAAUUGGUUGCAUGGAAAUGGUUAAUUGGUAAUUGGUUUUGGUGUUGGAAUCACUAUACCCCGACAUGUUUGAUAAAGUUCCUAUGAGAAUACUCUUACUAUAUUAUUAAACUUUUAAUGGAACUAUUGCAUGUUAUAACUUGGUAAUGGAACCUUAAAUGGCAUAAAUUGUUUAAAUGGUUUGGAAUGGUUAAAUGGUAAGGUCUUGGUGGUGAUGAUUAUAGUUAAUUAAACAUUCCUUGUGGGGUACGAGGAAAUCCCCAAAGUGGACCUAAUUAUAAACCACUUGUGGGGUACACGAGACUCCCCCGAGUCAACAUGAUAAUGAAACCUAUGGGUACAAAGAAAUACCUUAAUAUUUGAAAGGUUGGCUAAAGACAUUGCUUGCAAGCUAUAGUUGGUAUGAAGAUACCACUAUUUAUAUACUUAGUUAAUAACAAAUGGAAUGGUUGUCUUGGUUAUGUGGUAAUGGUUUUAAUUGGGUAAUAAUGGUGGGGUGUAAUUAUUAGCAAUGAAGGUGUUAGUCCAAUGGACGUACACUAGAAACUCAUGUUUUCCGCCAUGAGAAUUUGGUCAUGAUGACCAUAUGGGGUACAUGGCAAUCCCCUAAGUUACAUUUGUAUAUAUGCAUCAUAGAGCGCGAAGGAUACUUGGGAAUCCCCUACUCCUAUGGUAUCUUCGAUUCAUGUGGUUACACAAAUCGAGGCUCGAUCAGGGGGUAACACUUGACCCAUAUUUCCUGUGGGUGGUACUAGGAUGGUUAAGCUACACAUACCCAGGUUAAUGAUUUUAAAUGCAUGGUAAACCAAAUUUUCUUUCCUAACAUGAUUUUUAUAUAUAUACAUAUACAUAUAUAUCUACAUAUAUAGAUAGAUAGAUAGAUAGAUAGAUAUGGAUUUGUAUGCAUAUGGUUGGUUUACUAGGUUUUAAUGGUUUGCAUUAUUUUAUUCUUAUCUUGAGUACUUGUUAUUGUUUACCCGCUAACCCAUCUUCGGGCAUAUGUAUACUCACGCGAUUACUCCUACUUAGUGAUCAGAUUCAGGAUCAGCUAUGGGAUUAAAGUUGUGAGCUUCUAUAUUCUAGAAGCCUUUAUUUUAUAUCAUGGAUGUCUUUACAUACUUUUCGUCAUUUUAUGGAUAUUGGAUUUGGCUAUAGUUGGGGGCAUGUCCAAACCAAAUAUUGUUUUUCCUUUUAGUUAGUGUCUUUCUGGAACUACUAUGGGAUGGAAUGGGCAGUGUCUGUAUUUGUGUCCACCUUAAUUUUGGCAUUGGUAUUGGUUCUAACACCAUUUGACUGAAUUUAUGAUUGUUCCAUCCUUUUAUGUUAUGUUAUGAGCAGGAACUUAUUUUUUAUUUGUUUGGUUAUUGUUGUUGCUUUGUAUUAGAAGGUUGGACCUUUUUUUGUUUUUUCAUGGUUAUAGACCUAUCCCAGUGUCUUGAAUUGUAACAAAUGCUUCCUUGUUAUACUAUCGGAAUUCAUCCGACUCAAGGUAUAUGUAUUUUGACAUUACGUUGGGUAACAGGGGUAUUCUCCGAUCCUAGUUUGACUUGGGAUGUCCAUUAUGACAAGGCCUUGGUUUGGGUCAUGUAAAGUUGGUAUUAGAUCUUUAGGUUCAUAGUCAAUAGGUAAUCCACAAAAACAUGUCAAGUAGAGUCUCUUUUAAAGGUGUGUAGUGCGCCACACUUAUAAGGGAGAGGCUACAAGGCUUUAGGAAAUGUUUCUCUUCUUUGUGUUCUAUUUUCAAGCUUAGAUUCUAAGUUCUAGAAUCUUCUCUAAUUCUGUUGAAUCACUUCUCAAAUCAUUCCUUAAUGAUAUGAAGUUCACAAAAACUCCUCUAUCCCAACUAGGGAGAAUAUUGAUGGGACACGCUCUACUCAGGGGAUCCAUACUCGGUCUAGGUUCCUGUCCCUGAUAUUCUAGAGUUCUAAUGGUUCCUUCUAGUGUUCCUCAAGCUUAAGUAAUGAAUUUUAAGUUUUGUCAGUCAAUUCAUAUAAUUUCUCAGUUAGUAGUUUCUUAGUCUAAGCGCGGUGCAUAUAGUAUUGCAUUGUUUGAGGCCACAAGGGUUGGCCAAUUCAUGAAGAUGAGUUCUCUAACCUUUACUAGCAUUAAGGUAGAGUAUGAUCCUUAGGGUUUUUGGAUAAGAUGGAAAAGAUUUCUUAGAUUAUGCUGCCAUGAAUAUUGAAGGGCUUGAGUUUGCUUCUUAUUAGCUCAAAGAUAUAGCAUACCAAUGGUAUGAGAAAUAGGAUAGGGCAAGGGGUGAUGUUAUAAAAUCAUCCUUAUGGGAGACUUUCUCCAAUGUAUUUCUAAACUACUCUUUCCUCAAGAUCUGAGGGAAGCAAAAGUGGAGGAAUUUAUUAAUCUGAAAUAGGGAUAUUUAUCAAGGAGUAUGCCUUGAAAUUUUACCAGUUGUCAAGGUAUGCUCAAGAAAUAGUAACUGAUGAAAAUGCUUGGAUAAGAAAGUUUGCAUUGAGACUGUCUCAGGAUUUGAUCCUUGAAAUCAAGACUGCAUUACUGAUUGGGGACAUGGAUAUAUAUAGGUUAGUUGUUUAUAUUCAAUAGGUAGAUAAGAAAAGAAACAAGUUGAGAUAGGUGAAUGGAAAGGUAAGAGGUUUUUUUUAUCAAAGUAGUGGUCAAUAACAAAGUUUUCCUAAUGAUGGUAAGUGGCCAAAGAAGUAGGGGAAUUUUGAUUCCUUCUCCAUAUCUAGUACUCCUUACCUGAAUCAAUUGGGUGAUAGACAUAAUUAUGGUGGCAACAGCUUUAGGGAAUAGGGUUCCUAAUCUUAGGAAAGUAAGGCACAGACGGCUUUAUUGUGUCCUCUUAAAAGGUUCUACAGUCGGUUGAAUAGGGGUUACUAUGAUGAGAGAAGGGACAGGUGUUUUAAAUAUAGUUAGCCAUCCAUAUGCUUAGAAACUGUCUGGUUGGUAAGGUUUCUUUAGGAGCAAAUAAGGUUUCGGUUGCCUCUUCAUCUACUGCUACGCUGAAGGGUAUUAUUGCUUCUACAUCUAUUUCUGCUUUAGGUAUCAAUAUAGGUCGGAAUAGGUUUUAUGCUCUUGCUACUUGAUAGGAAUCUGAGGCGUCACUGAUGUCAUGGCUCGUACGUUACAACUUUUUUCUCAGGAUGUUUAUUAUUUACUUAAUCCACGAUUUACUCCCUCUUAUGUGACCCCAUUUGUUGUUGUGCAUUUUGAUUUUGAUCUCAAGGUUAUUUCAGAUAUUUUUUCUAUUUCUACCCGGAUAGUUGACUCUCUAGUUGCUCAAAGAGUCUAUACGAGGUAUGUGGUAUUUGUUGCUAGUAAGGAGACUUUGGUGGAUUUGUUUGAAUUAGAUAUGGUGGAUUUUAAUGUUAUCCUGGGUAUGGAUUAGUUACAUUCGUGCUAUACAUCACUAGAUUGUCAAACCUAUUGGGUUAUUUUUACAUUCCCUAGUGAACUAACUGGUUAUUGAAUGGAAGGGUGAUUCCUUAGCUCCUAAUGGGAAGUUUAUAUCCUAUCUUAGAGCCCAGAGAUUAAUCUCCAAGGGGUGUCUCUAUCAUCUAGUCUAGGUUAAAUAUUUUAACUGAAAAGGUCCUUCUUUGCAUUGGAUUUCGAUGGGGAAUGAGUUUCCUGAGGUUAUUCUAGGUGAUCUUCCUGAUGUUCCUCGAGAUAGGGAGAUUAAGUUUGGGAUAUAUUUGGCUUCGGACACACGUCCAAUAACUAUUCCUCUUUAUAGAAUGGCUCUGACUGAGUUGAGGCAACUUAAGGAGCAACAUAAGGAUAUCUUGGAUAAGGGUUUCAUCCAUCCUAGUGUGUCCCUUUGGGGUGCACCAACAUUAUUCAUGUGCAAGAAGGAUGGUUCCUUUUGGAUGUGUAUUGACUAUAGGCAGUUGAAUAUGGUGACGGUUAAGAACAAGUAUCCUCUCCCAAGGAUAAAUGACUUGUUUGAUCAGUGGCAAGGUGCAAAAUUCUUAUCCAAGAUAGAUCUUUGGUCUUAGUAUCAUCUGCUUAAUAUUAGGUAGGUGAAUAUCCAUAAGACAACUUUCCAUACUAGAUAUAGGAACUUUGAGUUCUUCGUGAUGUCAUUUGGUUUUGCCUAAUUUUGUGGUACCUAUAAUGGAUUUGAUGAAUAGGGUAUCCCAUAAGUUUCUGGAUUUUUUGUCAUUGGUUCACCGAUGAUAUCCUGAUAUAUUCUAAGAGCAAGGUGGAUCAUGCCAAUUACCUUCGUGUGGUGUUGCAGAUAUUGAAAGAGCAGCAGUUGUAUGGAAAUUAUGUAAAUGUGAAUUUUGGUUGAUCGUUGUUACUUUUCUUAAUUAUAUUAUUUCUAGUGGGGGAACAAUGGUGGAUCCACAAAAAGUGGUGGUGGUUAAGAAGUGUCCUAGACCCAUAACUUUAAACGAUAUUCGGAGCUUCACUGGGUAUUAUAGGAGGUUUAUGGAAAGUUUCUUGAUGAUAACUGCUUCAUUGACCAAGUUGACUCAUAAGAUGGUAAAGUUUUUUUGGUUGGAUGCCUCUGAAGGUAGUUUCGAAGAGAUGAAAGAGAAGAUAAAUUUGUCUCUAUUUUUGAAUUUGUCUGAGGGCAAUAAGGGGUUUGUCGUUUACUGCGAUGCAUCCUGGGUGGGACUUAGUUAUGUUUUAAUGCAGCAUGGUAAGGUGAUUGCUUAUACCUUUAGGCAGUUGAAAGUGCAUGACAAGAAUUAUCCUGCUCAUAAUUUAGAAUUGUUAGUUGUGAUUGUUGCAUUGAAGGUCUGGACACUAUUUGUAUGAAGUGCAUGUAGAUAUCUUCUUGGAUCAUAAAAGUUUGCAGUAUUUAUUUAUUCUGAAGGGGUUUAACCUCAGGCAGAGGAGAUGGCUUGAGCUUCUCAAGGACUAUGACAUGAGUCUUCACUACUAUCUAGGUUAGGAUAAUGUUAUUGCUAAUAUUCUUAGCAGGUUGUCCAUAAGGAGUUUAGCUUUUGUGGAAAAGGAGAAGCGGGAGUUGGUGAAUUGUAUUCAUCGCUUGGCUAAUCUUACAGUUUUUCUUUUGGACUCCAAGAAUGGUGGUAUAUUGGUACAGGAAGUGGUUCAGUCGGCUCUUGGUGCAGAGAUCAAAAAGUAAAUGCUAGAUCCUAUCUUGAUAAAAAAACAAGGGUGAUAUAGGUGGGCAAAUGUUAAUGGUAUUUGAGAUCAGUGGUGAUGGUACCUUGUUGUACCAAAGGUGAUGUCGAUGGUUUGGGACAAAGGAUAUUAUUUGGGGUGCAUGAAUUGCUCUACAUUGUUCAUCCUAAUUCAAUGAAAGUGUAUCAUAAUCUCAAGGAGAUGUACAAUGGUAUAAAAAAGGAUGUGGCUAAUUUUGUGGCCAAGUGUUUAGUGUGUUAAAAGGUGAAAGUUGAGCUCAUACGGCCUGGUUGAUUAUAUCAAGGAAUGGAUUUUUUGAAAUGGAAAUGGGAGGUGAUCAAUAUAGAUAUCGUUACCGGUUUUCCUCAGUUUCGAAAUCAAUUUGAUUCAAUUUGGGUAAUUGUAGAUAGGAUGACAAAUUCGUCUCUUUUUUCUAGUAAGGACUAACUUUUUGGUGAAGGAUUAUCUGAGGUUGUAUCUUCAUGAGAUUGUGAAGCUAUAAAGGGUACCUAUUUCUAUUAUCUUUGAUCGUGGUAUGCAAUUUUCAUCUCACUUUUGUCAGUCAUUUUAGAAGGGGUUGGGUACUAAGGUUAGUCUGAGUAUUGUUUAUCACCAGCAGAUAGAUGGGCAAGCAGAAAGGACUAUUCAUACAUUUAAAGAUAUGCUUCAUGCAUGUGUGAUUGAUUAUGGCGGUAAUUGUAUUGAAUGUCUACCUCAUGUAGAGUUUGCUUACAAUAAUAGGUAAUAUUUCUUUGAGGCAUUGCAUGGUAGGAGGUGUAGGUCUCCUAUUGGGUGGUUCGAGGUUGGUGAGGCGGCUAUGUUUGGUCCAAACUUGGUUCAUCAGGCUAUGGAAAAGUUGAAGGUGAUUCGAGAUUGGCUUAAGGUUGCUCAAAGUUGCCAAAAGACCUAUGUAGAUGUAAGGCAUAGAGACUUGGAGUUUGAGUCUGGGGAUACGGCGUUCCUAAAGGUGUCUCCCAUGAACGGAGUAAUGUGGUUUCAUAAGAAGGGGAAGCUCAGUCCCUGGUAUAUUGGUCCUUUUGUGGUUUUGAGCAGGGUUGGUAAUUUUUCUUAUGAAUUGUAAUUGCCUUCUAGUUUGAGCUCCAUUCAUUCGGUAUUUUAUGUCUCUAUGUUGACAAAGUUUUUUGGUGAUCCUUGUUUAGUUAUUCCUUUUGAAGGAUUAGGCAUUUAAGAUUCUCUGUCUUAUGAAAAGAUCUCGAUUGAGAUCUUAGAUUGGUAGAUUCAUCGAUUACGAACAAAGGAUGUUGCCUCGGUUAAUGUUGUAUGGCGGAUCUAUAAGGUGGAAGAGGCUAGUUGGGAAGCAAAAGAGGACACUUCAGUAUCUGCACUUGUUUUUUGCUUUGGAAGUUCGUCCAGAAGGUAUGUGUUGUUGAUCACAUCUUUUUUUCUAACUUAGCUAAAGGCUAGAUUGAUUUUUUAUAAUGCAAUGACUCAUGUUUUUGCUUACCCUACCCAUCAUUCGAGGACGAAUGAUCCUAGUGUGGGAGACUGAAACACCCCAAAUUUUUGGAACCUUAGAAAAUUUCCUAGAUUUCUAAUUUCUGGACAUCAUACGACUAGGGGGUACUAGUCGUAGAUGGGGUAUGGUUGGUAUGGUCUUGGUCGUAUGUUAACCAGUAUUAGUUGGUGGGUUGGAUUAGUUUCUAGUAUGGGUACGAAUUGGGUGGGUACGGGUCUUAUAAUGGGUGACAGUUCAUAGGUUUGGUUUUUCCAUCACUUAAUCUAAAACUUGUUAACUUAACAUUAAUCUGAGUACGAAUGGCACACUAUGAGCCGUAAGAUAGGGUAUGAGCCGCUCCAUUCACUUGCAUGGUAUAUAGUGUCUAAGUCCUCUUUGAUUUUUAUUCUGUGGUAGGUAUGGGUCAAGGUUAUAGGUCGUAUGAUUCAAUACGACUUGGCUUGGAUGUUCUUACGAUGGGCAGUAUUGGGGUCCAAGCAUAGGCCUAUGGUAUGAGUGAUGGGUACCACUCAUACGAUGGGGUACGACUGGUAUGGGGUCGUCAUACCCUCCAGUGGGAUUUUUAUACAUUUAAGUGGAGGUAAUCUGGACAUUUCCCAACUUAACCUCUUAAGGCCCCUCAACUUAUAACUCUCUUGGGACAUCAUUUAUAGUAAUAUUCUAAUCUUAAACACUUAAAAACUCUCUCAAAUUCUCUCUAAGCUCUUGGGUAAGGAAAGGCUAGAUAUUUCUCCCUCAUUGUUAGUUCCAACUAAAGGCAUAUUUUAUGAAUUGUUUUCAUAGCAUAAUUGUUGUAUGGUUUUAGGUUUUCAAUCAUAUAUUGGGGGUUUUGGUUAUGAAUUCUUGGUUAUGGUUUUCCCAUGUUUUAACUAUGGACUUACAUACUUUAAUGGAGGCUUGUACAAUUGGUUUCAUAGGAAUGGUUAAUUGGUAAUUGGUUUUUGUUUGGAAACACUAUGCUCCUACAUGUUUGAUAAAAUGCCUAUGAGAAUAUUUUUACUAUAUUGUUGGACUCUUAAUGGAACUAUUGCAUGAUAUAACUUGGUAAUGGAACCCUAAAUAGCAUAAAUGGUUUAAAUGGUUUGGAAUGGUUUAAUGGUAAGGUCUUGGUAGUAAUGGUUAUGGUUAAUUAAGCAUUCCUUGUGGGCCCUCCAAGUGAACCUUUUUAUAAAACACUUGUGGGGUACACGGGACUCCCUCCCAAGUCAACUUUAUAAUAAAACCUAAGGGUACAAGGGAAUCCCUUAAUCUUUGAAAGGUUGGCUAAGGACAUUGCUUGCAAGCUAUAGGCGGUAUGAUGAUACCACUAAUUAUAGACUUGGUUAAUAACAAAUUGAGUGGUAGUCUUAUUUAUGUGGUAAUGGUUUUAAUUGGGCAAUAAUGGCAAGGUGUGAUAGCUAACCGUGAAGGUGUAAGUCCAAUAGACAUACACUGGAAGCUUAUGUUUGUCGGUAUGAGGAUUUGGUCAUGAUGACCAUAUGGGGUACAUGGGAAUCCCCUAAGUUACACUUUUUUAUAUGUAUCAUGGAGAGCGAAUGGUACUUGGGAAUCCACUACUCCUAUGGUAUCUCCAGUUUGUGCGGCUACAUACAUCGGGGCCUGUUAGGGGUUACACUUGACCUAUAUAGCCCGUGGGUGGUACUAGGACGGUUAAGCUACACAUACCUAGGUUAAUGGUUUUAAAUGUAUGCUAAAAUUGGUUCCAUUUCCCGGCAUGUUUUAUAUACAUAUAUAUAUAUAUACAUACAUAUAUAUAUGUAUGUAUAUGUACGGAUUUGUAUGCAUAUGGUUGAUUUACUUGGUUUUAAAGGUUGUCAUGAUCUUAUCCUUAUCUUGAGUAAUUGUUAGUAUUUACUCGCUAACCCAUCUUUGUGUGGCUAUAUCCCCAUGCAAUGCAGAGACCGACCAUUCUACUACUCUUGCUUAGCGAUCAAACUCGGGAUCAGCUAUUGGAUUGAAGUGGUGAGCUUCCAUAUUUUGUAAGGCUCCAUUUCAUAUCAUGGUUGUCUUUACAUACUUCUGUCAUUUUAUGGAUAUUGGUUUUAGCUAUGGUUGGGGGCAUAUCCCAACCAAAUUUUAUUUUUUCCUUUUAUUAGUCUUUUUAGAAAUACUAUGGGUUAGAAUGGGCGGUGUCGGUAUUGGUGACAGCCUUACUAUUAGCAUUGGUAUUGGGGCUUAUACCAUCUGACUGAAUUUAUGAUUGUUCUAUCAUUUUGUAUUAUAAAAAUAAACUUGUUUUUGUAUUAUUUUGGUUAUGGUUGUUGGUUGGUAUUGGACGGUUGGACUUGUUUGGGUUAGUCACGGUUAUAGACCUAUUCCACAGUCUAGAAUUUUAAUAAAGGCUACCUUGUUAUACAGUCAGAAGUCAUCCAACUCAGGGUAUACGUAUUUUGAGGUUAGGUUGGGUAAUAGGGGUAGUCUCCAGUCCUGGUUGAACUUGGGAUGCCCAUUAUGAGAAGGCCCUGGUUUGGGUCAUGUUAAGGAUCCAACCUAUAACCCUAGUUUGAUGGGUAUCAGUACCUUACCAUAGGUACUUACACUGGCUGUGUGGAUCCACUAAAUUGGUGUCCCAAAGGACUAGGGUGUUAGUACACUACUGGCGGGUAACCCUUAAAAGAAUGUCAGUCCUCUACUGGUGGGUGACAUAUCAUAACCUAUGAUGGCUAUGUAGUUCUAGAACUUAGAUAUUUCUACUAAAGUUCUUAGUCCUCUACUGGCGGGUGAGCUUUUAUCCCUAGGUUCGCUUGAUGCUAAUCCUACUCCCAACUUAACUGUCACUAGUAUUGAUUACUGUUAACUAAACUCAUAACUAAUAGUGCUCAGCAUGAGCAUAACAGAACUGACUAUGAUAAUGGAAUUAAUGAUUUAACUAACUUAGUACUUGAAAAUCUGAAACAUGAGUAAACACAGAGGUAUUGGGUGUUCAUAACCCUCCCGUGUUAAAUGAUACUAAAAUACGAUUACACCACUUAAAAAUUUAUAGAAAGUUAUAAUUCAGAGACCAAAACAAAAAUACAUUUCAAAGAAUGACUGAGAUACAUGAAUUUGAAAUGGGGAGGUGUUAAACUUGGGAGGAUAACAAUAUAUUAUGGUUUCAUUCAUAACUUGAUAAUUUGACAUGGGGUCAAUUGAAUAUGACAUGGGUAAUUGCAAUUCAAAGUAUGAAAUAACCUAAUUUACACAGGAAAACACGUUGACAAGGCUUGAAUUCAAAUUACUAAGAAAAACAACAACAUGGAUUAAAUUCAUAUUUAAUCCUGAUAAAUUUCACAAAAGAGAAUGCGCAUUCAUUUGAUCCUGAUCCUUGUGGAUCGAAAGGUAGACUAGACUGGACCUGCACGGCCCUCCUAAUAAUAUCCAUAAAUGAGUUGUUUUUGGUAAUAGAUGAACAUUACCGCAUGUAAAUUCUGGUGCAUGAUAGACACCGGUACUCCAGUGCAUUUCUCCAUCUGAAUCAGAAUAAAUAUGUUUUCAAACCUUCUCUUUAAAAUUUAAAGUGGAUAUUCCUGCGCGAAUAUCAGUAAUUACUUGUUCUGAUUCUACAUAUUGAUCGUUUUGAACUAAAAGCAAACUUUUGGGUGGAAUAUUCACAUUAUGUAGAAUAUCUUCACUCUCAAUAGUUACAUACAAGUCUAUAGAACAUAGAAAGGCGGGAUGCCCAUGACGUGUACGUAUCGAAUGAACCAAAUCCUCAUUGAAUUUUAUUUUUCCAUUAGAUGGGGCUCGCACAUGUUCUACAGUACCCCCCGUGAAUACUCCUACAGUAUGAAAAGUUCUUAAUAUUAAUUGAGUACCAGGUUCUCCAAUCGAUUGACCUGUAAUAAUACCUACAGCUUCCCCCAACUCAACCAGGUCGCCAUGAGUAGGACUCCGGCCAUAACAUAAUCGACAAAUCCAAGAUGUACUCCUACAAGUAAAGGGAGUUCGAAUAGAGAUUGGUUGUGCCCGAAAGGUUAUGAAUUGAUUUACAAGUCCAAUGCCAAUGUCUUGGUUUCUAGUGGCAAUACAUCGUGAACCCAUGUAUAUAUCAUCUGCUAAUACACGGCCAAUUAAUGUUUGACUAAAAAUCCUUUCCGGCAUCAUCUCAUUCCAAGGACUCACAGAAAUACCCCGGGCGGUGCCACAAUCCAUUCAACGAACAACAAUGUGUUGAACUACUUCAACAAGUCUGCGAGUGAGAUAUCCAGUGUCUGAUGUUCGUACAGCAGUAUCCACAACUCCUUUACGGGCUCCGUAGCAAGAAAUGAUGUAUUCUGUUAAAGAGAGUCCUUCGCACAAAUUGUUUUGAAUAGGUAAAUCAAUCAUUUGUCUUUGAGGAUCUGACAUUAAUCCUCGCAUACCUACUAAUUGAUGUACCUAAGAUGCAUUUCCUCUAGCUCUCAAGAAAGACAUUAUAUGAACUGGAUUAAAAGGGUCAGUCAUCAUAAAUUUCGAAUUCAUUUCUUGUCGCAAAUAUUCACUUGUAGCAUACCAUAUUUCAAUGGAUUGACGUAAUUUUUCUACCGUGUGUACAUUCCCAUAAUGAUGGUGUUUUUUCAAAAUCAAGCUUUGUUGUUCAGCAUCUUGAGCGAGCCAUCCCUUAGAAGGUAUUGUUAAAAGGUCAUCAAUUCCUAAUGAAAUGGAUGUAGCAGUAGCUUGUUGGAACCCCAGAAUUUUUACUUGAUCUAGGAUAUGUGAUAUAUAUGCCAUUCCGAAGUGCUCUAUUAAUCUACUAAUAAGUCAUUUCAUGGAAGUUCCGUCUAUCGCUUUAUUGUGAAAGACCAGAUUGGGCCGUUCUGCCAUAGGUACCUCUAUAUUUCGCUGAGUAGGAUUCGACAAUGGGUUUGAGUCAGUGAUUGUAAAACUUCCUUUUAUCGAUCUUGAUUCACGUAUAAAUUCUGAAACUAUGUACCUAGCUGAACCGAAGAACCCCAAAGUCCCACGGUAUCAUAUAAUUACGUUAGGUACCAUAUGAAUAGGCUCGAGAAAACCCCUAUAUAGCUUCUUUGAUUUCUCGAUAAAGAGCAAUAUGACCAACAGUGGUUUGAAUGUAUAUAAAAAGGAUUUGUUUUUGUAGACUUCUUACUAUUAGAUAGUGUCCAUAAAUCUCAUAAAAGAACCUAAAGAUUCAUAGUGAACUUCGAUGGGAGUUUCUCUUGAAGCAAUAACGCGGUUAUCUAGUCACCACCGGAGCCACAAAGGACUAUCUAAAUUGAUUCGUUUCUGCCGAUAAGCCCAAAUUGCAUCAUAGGAAUUCAAAAAAAGGGGUUCUUUCGUAUACUUAUAGUAACUAUUGUCACUUCUUUUUUGAUUUUGAUAGUUUCUGCAAUUAUAUGGAUUAUAUCUAUUUACACAAAUACCUCGAUGAUUUCCGCUCGUUAAUACAUAGAGUCCAAUAAGCAUAUCUUGGAUUGGUACGAAAAUGGGAUCCCCAAUAGUCGGAGACAAAAGAUUCAUAUGAGAAAACAUGAGUAAACAGGCCUCUACUUGAGCCUCCAAGGAUAACGGUACAUGAACAGCCAUUUUAUCUCCAUCAAAAUCGGCAGUGAAUCCCUUGCAAACUAAUGGAUGUAAGCAAAUAGUGCGCCCCUCCACUAAAAUGGGCUGGAAUGCCUGUAUGCCUAAUCUAUGCAGAGUGGGUGAUCUAUUUAGCAAUACAGGAUGUCCUUGCAUAACUUCUUGAAGGAUUUCCCAUACAAUCGGCUCUUUUUCUCGAAUUUUACUCUUAGCAACUCCUAUGUUUAAAGCAAGAUGUUUUCUAAUUAGACCAUGAAUUACAAAUGUCUGGAAAAGUUCUAUUGCUAUUUCAUGAGGCAAUCCACAUCGAUGUAAUGAAAGUGAAGGACCCACGCCAAUGACAGAACGUCCUGAAUAAUUAACUCAUUUUCCAAGUAGAGUCUCACAAAAUCUUCCCUCUUUGCCUUCAAUUACAUCAGAAAAUGACUUGUAAACUUUAUUAUGACCAUCCCUCAUUGGUUGUGCUCGGAUUCCAUUAUCAAGAAGUGUAUCCACGGCUUCUUGUACUAAUUUCUCCUGACACAUUUCUAAUUCUCCUAGAGUAGAUCUACUUGUUGUUAAUAGAUUGGUAAGGGUAUUGUUCUGAUAGAUAACUCUUCUAUAGAGUUCAUUAAUAUCUGAGCUCAUUAGUUUACCCCCAUCUAUCUGAAUGAUCGAUCUCAACUCAGGAGGAAGAACUGGUAAUAGACACAAAACCAUCAAUUCUGGCUCUAUAUUUGUUCGAAUAAAAUGCUUAGCCAAUUCCACGCAUCUAACCAAAAAGUCCUUUCUUCUUUCAACCUUUCGAUCUUCCCAUUCAUUCCCUGUGUGCCAUUCUUCCCCCAAUUCUUCCCAUUCCACCAACGAAUUCUCUAUAUAAUUCAUAAAUCUAGAUCAACUAAUUGUUCUCAGAUAGCACCUACACCAGUAGAGAUUUGUCGAUUGUGAAAUGUAUCGAAACCCUGGGUAGUAAAAAAAUUGGGAUGCUGUAUUUCCAAAACCUGGUAAAGAGCCGCCCGAUUUGGAUUUGUACAUAUAGGACAAAUGCUCUCAUUACCAUUUCUUUUUGUAUUUCUUUUUUUUUUUCAAUUCAUUUUAUACAAGUAUUUAUUAGAGUUGAGAUAACUUUGCUUGACAAUUAGGAUCUCUUUACAAAUUACAAAAAAAAAAUAUGAAUAGCAAUCAUAGAUAUCUUACCAAUCCAAUUGGGUUUUUUCUAAACGGAGCCUGGAUACUUCAUUUUUUUAGUCCAACCAAGCCAACCAUAAAUUAUUCUAAUUGAUAAUAGUAAUAUGAAUCCUCUCAAAAAUGGAUCUAAUUGCACUUCACGCUCCAAAUUUUUGAUGAUUUAAUUUAUCAUUUUAUCAUUCUUGGGCGAAAUGGGGGAUAUCUCGAUCAGGGGAGAGAACGGGGAAAUACCAUAUAACCCAAUAUAUCUGAUAAGUCGCACUAUAUGUCAACCCAAAGUAGAUUUGCCUCUCCGAGACCUCGAAAGGGAACUUUCGGAACACCAAUAGGCAUUAAAUGAAAGAAAGAACUAAAUACUAUAUUUCACUUUGAGGUGGAAACGUAACAAUUUUUUUACUGUACUUAGAAUAUUCAUAUUAGUUCUUAUCGUAUUUAUUUUAUCCAUAGAUUCUAAAAAUUCAUAAAGAAAGACAGAAUGAAUAAACUCAAAUUAUUACGAAUAGGUCUUUCUAAUGAUAAAUAAGUAUGGACUCAUUCGCUCAUAGAAAAUGAGAUCAACUCCCCCAUUGCGUAUUAGUACUUAUCGAGUAUAGAAUAAAUCUGCUUCUCUUUGUUCCUACGAAUAGAAUUGUUCUAUUAUUACCACCAGAAUAGCACACCCUUGAUUCAAAAAUAAUCGACUGAACAAGAGUGGUCCAUAGGAUAGUCAUAUUAUAGUCUUUUCCAAUGCAAUAAAGUUAUGGAGUAUUUAUUUAUCUUUGAUAUAAGGGGUAUUUCCAUGGGUUUGCCUUGGUAUCGUGUUCAUACCGUUGUAUUGAAUGAUCCCGAUUAGUUGCUUUCUGUUCAUAUAAUAGAUACAGCUCUGGUUGCUGGUUAGGCCGGUUCGAUGGCUCUGUAUGAAUUAGCAUUUUUUAAUCCUUUUGAUCCUGUUCUUGAUCCAAUGUGGAGACAGGGUAUGUUCAUUAUACCCUUCAUGACUCAUUUAGGAAUAACCAAUUCAUGGGGCGGUUGGAGUAUCACAGGGGGGACUAUAAUGAAUUCGGGUAUUUGUAGUUAUGAAGGUGCAGCGGGAGCACAUAUUGUGUUUUCUGGCUUAUGCUUUUUGGCAUCUAUCUGGCAUUGGGUGUAUUGGGAUCUAGAAAUAUUUUGUGAUGAACACACAGGAAAACCCUCUUUGGAUUUGCCAAAGAUCUUUGGAAUUUAUUUAUUUCUCUCAGGGGUAGCUUGCUUUGGUUUUGGUGGAUUUCAUGUAACAGGCUUGUAUGGUCCCAGAAUAUGGGUGUUCGAUCCUUAUGGACUAACGGGAAAAGUAAAACCUAUAAAUCCAGCGUGGGGCAUGGAAAGUUUUGAUCCUUUUGUUCCAGGAGGAAUAGCCUCUCAUCAUAUUGCAGUAGGAACAUUGUGCAUAUUAGCGGGCCUAUUCCAUCUUAGCAUCCAUCCACCACAACGAGUAUACAAAGGAUUGCGUAUGGGAAAUAUUGAAACCAUCCUUUCCAGUAGUAUUGUUGCUAUCUUUUUGUAGCUUUUGUUGUUGUCGGAACUAUGUGGUAUGGUUCGGCAACUACCCCGAUUAAAUUAUUUAGGCCCACUCGUUAUCAAUGGGAUCAGGGGUACUUCCAGCAAGAAAUAUAUCAAAGAGUUAGUGCUGGGCUAGCAGAAAAUCAAAGUUUAUCAGAAGCCUGGCCUAAAAUUCCUGAAAAAAAAUUAGCUUUUUAUGAUUAUAUCGGCAAUAUUCCGGCAAAAGGAGGAUUAUUCAGAGCAGGUUCAAUGGAUAACAGGGAUGGAAUAACGAUUGGAUAGUUAGGACACCCUAUCUUUAGAGAUAAAGAAGGGCGUGAACUUUUUGUACGUCGUAUGCCUACUUUUUUUGAAACAUUUUUGGUCGUUUUAGUAGACGGCGAUGGAAUUGUUAGGGUUAAUGCUCCUUUUAGAAGGGCAGAAUCGAAGUAUAGUGUUGAACAAGUAGGUGUAACUAUUGAGUUCUACAGCGGUGAACUCAACGGCAUCAGUUAUAGUGAUCUUGGUACUGUGAAAAAAUAUGCUAAAUGUGCUCAAUUGGGUGAAAUUUCUGAAUUAGAUCGUGCUACUUUGAAAUCCGAUGGUGUUUUUCAUAGUAGUCCAAGGGUUCAUUUACUUUUGGGCAUGCUUUGUUUGCUUUGCACUUCUUCUUCGGACACAUUUGGCAUGGUGCUAGAACCUUGUUCAGACAUGUUUUUGCUGGUAUUGACCCAAAUUUAGAUGCUCAAGUUGAAUUUGGGGCAUUCCAAAAACUUGGAGAUCCAACUACAAAAAGACAGGCAGCCUGAUACAACAUUGCUUUGGUAUCUUUCUUUUUCCCUUAUUUUCUUUCUUUUACUUUUAUUGACAUAGGGUACCAGAGAAAUCUUUAUUUGAAUCAACUUCGUUUUUACUCUUGUUCGUUCUUUAUCUGGAAGAUGAUAAAAAAAAGAAAAUAAAAAGAAACAAACAGGUAUGAAAGCUAUAAUUGUAAACCACGAUCGAAUCUAUGGAAGCAUUGGUUUAUACAUUCCUCUUAGUCUCGACUCUAGGGAUAAUUUUUUUCGCUAUCUUUUUUCGAGAACCGCCUAAAGUUCCAACUAAAAAGAACUAAAAAGGGGAAUGAAUUUUUCAUUAUCUCAGUUGAAGUACUGACCCUCCCGAUAUCGGGAGGCUUAGUACUUCAACUAAUCUCCAUGUUCCUCGAAUGGAUCUCUUAGUUGUUGAGAAGGUUGCCCAAAAGCGGUAUAUAAGGCAUAUCCAGUAAAACUUACAAGUAAACUAGAUAUAAAGAUGGCGACUAGGGUUGCUGUUUCCAUUCUUAUCAUAUUUAUAUAAUUUCAAGACCCCAAUGGAUUAUGAUAGGAUCAUUUACUUACAACGGAAUGGUAUACAAAGUCAGCAGAUCUCAAUGAAUACUAUAGGAUUUAUGGCUACACAAACUGUUGAGAACAAUUCUAAAUCUGGUCCGAGACGAACUGUAGUAGGAGAUUUAUUAAAACCAUUGAAUUCGGAAUAUGGUAAAAUAGCUCCUGGGUGGGGAACUACUCCUUUGAUGGGUGUCGCAAUGGCCUUAUUUGCGGUAUUUCUAUCUAUUAUUUUGGAGAUUUAUAAUUCUUCCAUUUUAUUGGAUGGAAUUUCGAUGAAUUAGAUCUAUAAGAAUCGCAAAGUCCUUACUUUGGAGUCCAAAAUGAAUCAUUUAGAGCUCCGAUUUAUAGUACAUUCUAUUUUGUUUUGGUAGUUCGAUCGUGGAAUUUCUUUGUUUCUGCACUUUCGGAGUAUGAGUGUGUGACUUGUUAUAAUUGAUCCUAUUGAUAGUACAGAGAAUGAGUCUGUCAUCUUGAUAGAGAUGAUUCUACUUCGUCAGAUAUUUAUUCUAAUAUUUGGAACACGAAAUAGAUUAAGAAAUAUUUGAACUAUGAUUCAUACUUAAUAUUCAGACCCCGUGUCCGGGCUCCAAAAAAUUUUCAAACAAAGAAUUCGAAUUUCUAAAUCGAAAGAUUCUUUUCUUUCAACCCCUAAUUUAUAUUUUGACCAAAAGCAAAACCUUUCUUUGAAUUUUUAGUCAUUCUAUUUAUUCAGGGAAUAAGUGAUGAUCCGAGGAUUCUUACUCAGAGAAUCCUUGAUUUGAUUUAGGUUAGGUUUUUUUUAUUGAAUCAUCGUGGUUCUAGUAUGAAUCUGAGGUUUUAAUCGAUUCAUAGGGUCUUAACAAGAGAAUUCCUAUCAAUAAUAAAGAAAACAAAGAAUAAAAGACAUAUUCCACAAAAACAAAUUCUAGAAAGAAAUAGGGAAAAAGAGAAUUCAAGAGGCCCAUAAGUAUCAAAAUAAAGAUAAAGACGACUGCGCCAACUUGAUAUUUUGGUAUUAUCGCCACAAAGAAGAGCUUUCGGAUUUUCCAGAGAAGAUGGGAUCAGAACUUAAUAACUUUAAAACUUUCUAUUCCAUAUCCGUUACAACUAGUAUUUGGGAGG
rnacentral:lncRNA from 1 species